rnacentral:lncRNA from 1 species
AGAGAGAAAGGUCCGGACCAAGUAGAACACACUGCACCAGCUCAAGAACACCUCUCGCGAGGCCGUUCUUCCCCUAUACUGUUCAUCAUCAGCCCUUGAGGCAAUCCACUACACCACACACUGGAGUAGGGUAUUACACCACAUUGGUGGCCCGAACCAGUAUAAACCUCGUGUCCCUUGUGUGUUCUUCUUUCUAGCCUAGAUUUCUUGUGAGCCAUAGAAGCGCAAGUCGGUAGGGGAAAGAUCUCUGUGCGCACCCCAGAGUUCGAACCUUAAGGGUCUCCCGGAACCCGAAAUCCGACAACCACAGUGGCAAUGUGGUAAUUAUCCACUGAUAUGAUAGAAAAUAGUGCUAUCAUACCUAAAUCUACGGGCUGACAGGGUGCAUUAAAUGCGCCGCUUAGUGUCACAUCACUGGGCGCUCGGCAAGGCCUGCUGAGCUAUCUUGCCAGCUCCUCACCUGCUGUCUUGACACGUCGCAGGACGGGUGUCAUCUGUAGGCUUCUCUGUAGGAAAUGGCUGCCAUGUGGUGAAUGGCUGCCACUUAGUCAUCUCGCGUCUUGACACAACACUGAUGGAUGACGUGAGUCGUGCUUGAGUGGUUGGUGGGGCGGUUCUACCCUCGUGAGUCUUGGCAGGCUCUGCCGGGGAGCCUCGGUUGCUUGCUUCUGGUGGUGCCCUUGCCCCUUGUCGGGCUCGCCUGCCCGGCAAGGGACGCCCAUCUCUUGACGAUAUCCUGCUUCUUAGGCUCAAUCUUGGUCCUUAUGAGCUGCAUGUUGGUUCUUCAAUCUCUCACUUGAGCUGGUGCUUCAAUCUUGAUCCUGUGCCUGUGCAUAGUUGGUCAACAGACCCAGGGUUUGUUGCACCGAUAGAACCCCCCGGGCCUACCCCGAACGCGCUUCUGAGCAUCAUCCGUGUAGGGCCUAAUAAGUGCACAUGCAAGGUUGAUGAAGGGGUUGGCCCCUUAUGUUUUCCGUUGCUACUUCAUUAGCCUUGAUUUCGGGCCAGUUUCCGGUUUUCCCGCGAGCAGCAUAAAGCCAAUAGUGGUGGGGUUGCUCUAGUAAUGGCCUGUGAAUAACUUUAAUGCACGGGGUAGAAACUGCCAAUGUACUCUUCCCAUAGCGCACCCUUAUCCUUAGCCACGUAUGCAACAUGCAUCACGCGGGGUAGGUAACGGAGGCGCGUGGGACGGGAGAGUACCUUGGAAAAGGCCCGCCCGUCUUGAAUUGGCGAAUGAGGGUGGUGGUCAUCCAUGGAUGGAGGGGCUGCCCCUCCCGGCCUGGCCUAUAAAAGGGGAUUAGCGGAGGAGGGCGGAGUCAUCCAUCUCUGUGGUCCUCCUCUACUCAUCUUCUAUUUCUGCUAGUCAUGCUUGAGAAGGAGGCCAGGGGCCAGCCCCCGGGCCCUGGCUCGUGGCAUUCAUCUUCUCAUGCCAAUGCCGAUGUUUGGGGAGUGAGCCUGGUCCUUGGCGUGGCGAGUCUUUUGGUCUCUUUGAUGCUUGUCCGGGUGGAGGAGCUAGAGAUCAUGGGUAAUCCCAGCAUCACCCCUCCCAGAGGUCUUGGAGCUGAUGUCGACGAGGGGCGCUCCGUCCGGCCCGUCGAGCCGAUGGUAGCGUUGCAUGGCCGUUGUGGGUGAUUCCACUACCGUCUCUGUUCCCCCUUUUUGUCUUUCUUCUUUUUGUUUGGGGAAGGGCGAUGAGCCUUGCUCGUCACCUUGCGCAGCUCCUGGGGGCACUCCACAUGCGGAUCGCGGUAGAUGGCUGCUCCGCCGGUCCCUUCGUUGCCGCCCCCUCCCCAAUGCUCCUUUUAUUCUCCUUUCCCUCGCGCUUUGGUAUCCUGGGAAGAGGAGAAGAGAAAGGAAAAGAGGGGUUAUUGGGUUUUUAUCUUUUUUCAAUCCUAAAUCUGUAGGCAUACGCCAAACUUUAAUUCAAAUAAUGUAAUCUCUCAAAUCCAUCUUUGUGUUCUGUAAUGCUUGUACUUGUAUCUGGAUGUCAAUGAAAGAAAUAAGGCUUGCCGGGAACCCGUGCAUGUAUACGUCCAUGCAGACGUGGAGUGCCUCUUUAAGGUAAUUAAAUGAGUUUUCCCGGCAGGAUAUCCUGCCGGCACCCUUUUCGUCUGCCGGAGAACCAUGUCUGCCGUGGAACAGAUUGAGGCGCUAGCCCCCCGCCCACUCCCUUUUCAUCAAGGGCCACCACGACCAUCCAGGCCGAAGCAACGUUCGAGCCAAGGAUGGGAGCACCCUAGUUUCAAGAGAGCGGCGAGGUUUCUCUAUGCACAAGGUAUAGCUUACAGAACACUAAUGAAUAAGAGGUAAACUUAUCUGUUUGGCUUGCCGGGGACAACUGUCCCGUGCAAUCUUCUUGUCCCUUGUCCGAGUCAAGUUCACAGCAAGAACCUAUAACUCCAUGUAGAUGAGAAUGAAUGUAGGAUGCGGUCCUAUCUAUAUGCAUAUGCAAAUGCUCAUGUAAUGCUUAUGCAGUGAUCUGGGUGUGCUUGUGCAUGCAUGUGAUCUCGAUCGGGGCCCCCCACAGCGCUUCUUUAUUUUAUCUUGCAUGGGGUCAUCGCCCCGGCUUUGUACAAGGGGUUACAUGCAACUGAGGCAAUGCCUGUACAAAAGGGUGGCUGCUGGGCGGUGCCCGGCAGCCUCGCGCCUUACGGGUAGUACUUAUGGAGAUGAUCAAUAUUCCAUGAGUUUUGCAACUGUGUGCCAUCUCCGAUCUCCAGACGGACUGCGCUAGCUCUGGUGACUCGUACCACCCGGUAAGGGACUUCCCACUUUGGUGAUAACUUGUUUGUACCCUUGGCGGACUAAACGCGCCUAAGGACAAGGUCACCUUCCUCAAAACACCGGGCAUGAACCCUGCGGCUAUGAUAGCGACGCAGGUCUUGCUGGUACCAUGCAACACGCAUAGUAGCCCGGAGACUGUUCUCCUCAAGUAGCACAGCAUCGUCACACCGGUGCUGAUCUUGCGCUACUUCAUCAUAGGCAAGCACUCGAGGGGACCCAUAAAUGAGUUCCGUGGGGAUAAUUGCUUCUGCCUCGUAGACUAGGGAGAAGGGAGUCUGCCCGGUAGCUCAUUUAGGUGUCAUUGUGAGGGACAAGAGAACUAUCGGCAACUCCUCAAUCCAUCGCCUGCCGUGCUUCUACAGCGUAUCGAAAGUUCUUGUCUUGAUCCAAACGAAGCACUUUAGUGUUCGCCCUCUCGGCUUGUCCAUUGCUCCGGGGCGUGCCACAGAAGCGGAUGAGAUUUUGCAUUCGAGGGUGUGAACAUAUUGCAUGAAGGCGUGGCUCAUGAACUGGGUGUCGUUUUCUGUGAUGAUCCUUACCGGAAUUCCGAAAUGACACACCAAUUCUUUCAAGAACAUGAUAGCUGACUGAGCAGUGACCAUUCUCACAGCAGUCACUUCCGGCCACUUUGUAAACUUGUCGAUGGCAACAAACAAGAAUUCAAAGCCCCCAAUCACUCGCGGGAAGGGGCCGAGGAUAUCGAGCCCCCAGACUAAAAAUGGCCAUGAUAGAGGGAUUGUCUGAAGGGCUUGGGCAGGCAGGUGUGUUCUCUUGGAAUGGAACUGACAGGCUUCACAUUUCGUGAUGAGCUCAACUGCAUCUUGGAGGGCCGUGGGCCAAUAGAAUCCUUACCGGAAUGCAUUCCCAACUAAUGCCCUUGAUCCAAUGUGUGAGUCGCACAUUCAUGUGUGAAUUUCAGCGAGCAGUUCCUUUCCAUCUUCCCGGCAAACACACUUCAAUUUCACACCGUUGGGCUUCCUUCUAUACAGAGUGUCAUCGACAGACUGAUACACACUGGCCCUCUGGGCUACUCUUUCAGUUUCAUCAUGAUUGCCAGGGAGUUCUCUGGUUUGGAGGAAGUGGACAAUGUGCCUUGCCCAAGUUGGAUCCUAAGGCUCGGCAACGAGGACUAGCGGCACCUCCUCGGCUGCGGGAACACCAGCCUCGUCCGCGGGGUCCCUAGGCCCGGCUGGAAGGGGUGGUUCGGCAGGCUGUGAGGACUUGUUUCCCGCAGGGUCUCUGCCGGGAGAGGCUUACCAUAGUCCAUCUUUCUCCUUUGUCGGUCCAUUGUGGCUGGUGAUAUAGAGGGUUGAGAAAGAUGGAGAACAAAAGUUCCUGGUUCCACACGAAGCUUCUGCGCAGCACACUUUGACGGGUGAUCAGCUAUGCUAUUUUCCACAAGGGAUACGUGCUCUAUUUGCAACCCGUCAAAAUGCUCCUCCAAUCUCCUUAUUUCCUCGAUGUAUGCUUCCAUCAAUGGGAUUUGGUAAUCCUUGUUGACUUGUCUCUCCACGAGUUGUGAAUCUCCUUGAAUGAUCAGCUUGUUAAUUCCUAGUUCUGCUGCAAUCCUGAGCCCGACAAGGAGCCCUUCAUACUUAGCUAUAUUGUUGGUGGCUUCUUCCCAGGCAAAGUGCAUCUAGGCGACAUACUUCAAGUGCUCCCCGGAGGGGGCAACAAGAAGCACGCCAUCCCCUGCACCUUGUAGGGAAAAAGCACCAUCAAAAAAAUACAUAAUCCAUUCUUGGGGUGAUUCCUUGCCGGGGAGAGUUGUCUCUGUCCUCUCCUCAUCAGGGGUUGGCGUCCAUUCUGCAAUAAACUCUGCCAAUGCCCUGCUCUAAAUAGUCGAAGUGCUCUCAAACUUCAAACCAAAGCUGGAUAACUCCAAAGCCCAUUCCACUAUUCUGCCAGUUGCCUCUAGGUUUUGGAGUAUCCUUUGCAACGGGAAAUGAGUGACAAUCGUGAUCUCAUGGGCUUGGAAGUAGUGGCGCAGUCUCCUUGAUGUCAUAAUGAGACCAAAGCUCAACUUUUGCACGCCAGAGUACCUUUAUCUAGCCCCCUGCCAUAAGGAGCUGACGAAGUACACUCGACAGUACACCACUUUCUUCCUUGCCGCGUCCUUGGGGUUGCUCUCGUUGUCGUGCCCACUGCUGUCCUGAUCCUUCUCUAACUCUGCCCUGAUCUGGCCACUUUCUGCCUCAUCCACCACUCGCUUCGCUACCAAAGCUGCAACAAUGGUUCUUGGGGUUUGGGUGCAACCAAGGUGGGCACAGACGAUAGGUAGGUUUUCAGCUCUUGUAGAGUUGCAUCUACUUCCGGGGUCCACUUCAUAGGUCAUGCUUUCUUCAAAACCUUGAAGAACGGCAAGGCACGCUCGACAGACUUGGAGAUGAAUCUUCUCAGCGCGGCGACGCAUCCUAUCAAGCGCCUCACAUCCUUAACUGUCCUUGGUGCUUGGAUCUACUCAAUGGCCUUGAUCUUGUCGGGGUUGGCUUCGAUCACCCGAUGGGACACGAAGAACCAAAGUAGCUUGUCGGAGAGAACACCAAAUACACACUUCUCCGGAUUAAGCUUCAGAUUGAUCUUGCACAGAUUAGCAAAUGUCUCUUCCAAAUCCUGGAUAAGGGUGGCCUUAUCCUUGGUUUUGACCACAAUAUCAUCAAUAUAGGCUUCUAUAUUUCUGUGUAAUUGUGGCUUAAAACCAAUAUGCACUUCCCUCGCAAACGUGGACCCGACACUCUUUAAUCGAACGGCAUGCAGACAAAGAAGUACGUACCACAUGGAGUGAUGAAUGGUGUCUUCUCUAUAUCUUCCUUAGACAUGAAGCUCUGAUGAUAUCCUGAGUAUGCAUCCAGAAAGGAGAGCAAAUCACAUCCCGAAGUAGAAUCCAUGAUCUGGUAGAUGCGCAGCAAGGGAAAUGGGUCCUUCGGGCAAGCUUUGUUGAGAUCUGUGAAAUCAAUGCACAGCCUCCACUUCCCAUUGGCAUUCCGGACCACCACUGGAUUUGCCAACCAUGUAGGAUGCAAUACUCCUCUGACCAAACUAGCUGCCUCUAACUUCUUGAUCUCCUCAGCAAUGAACUACUACCUCUCCAAGGCCUGCUUCCGUACUUCCUGCUUGAUGGGUCGGGCAUGUGGGCGGACAUUAAGGUGGUGCUGAAUUACCUCCCUGGGAACACCAGGGAUAUCAGAUGGUUGCCAAGCAAACACAUCGAUAUUCGCCCACAGGAAGGCAACGAGCGCACUUUCCUAUUUGUCAUUGAGGGUGGUGCUGAUAGUGGAAGUACCAUCAACGCUAGCCAGCCCUGUCAGGACCUUCUUCACUUGGGGUGCAACAGCCAUGGAUCUCUUGCUGUUAGAACACUCCGGCACGUCGUCGACGGGUGCCCUGCACUCGGAGGGGGCAAGCUUCCCGGACUCCUUGCCGGAGGUCCUACAAUCCCUCUUCUUUCCUUUGCUUUCCUUGGCGGGAAGUGCUGCCGCCGCAACCUGAACUGCGACUGCAUCCCGAUACAUCUUAUCCACACAGAUAAUUGCAUCCUUCUCAUCUAACGAAAUAGUGAGGACUCCCAAUGGCCCAGGCAUCUUCAAGGUGGUGUAAGCAUAGUGGGGUGCUGCCGUGAACUUGGCCAGGGCUGGUUGUCGAAGAAUCCCAUUGUACGGCAGGGGGAGAUCAACCACUUCAAACACAAUCUUCUCAGUCCAAAAGUUCAUCUCUCCCCCAAACAUCACCAGCAACGUAAUCUUUCCUUAGGAUGACUCCUGCCGAGAUUAACUCCUUGACACGUGCUGGUGGCCUGCAACUCUUCUUCUCCUAUCUGAAGCUUGUUGAUAACUGCUGGGGAAAUCAGAUUCAACCCGACCCCACCAUCCACUAACAUUUUCGUGACCCUGAGGUUGCGAAUUGUUGGCGAGACCAACAACGGCAAGCACCCUGCCGCAGUAGUGCGGCAAGGGUGAUCCUCCUCAUCAAAGAUGAUGGGCGUGUGGGACCACUUGAGUGGCUUCCGGGCCUCUGGCGCUGGUUCCACUGCAUUGACCUCUCAUGCCCAUCGCUUGAGUUGGCGAUGAGAGGUGUGCAAAGAUGCACCUCCAUCAAUGCAUAGGCCAUCAGUGGCCUUCUGAAAUUCCUGCUCGCUGGUUUCUUCCUCAUCCCCUUCAUUACUCAUCUCAUGACAGAUUUCCUUCUCUUGGCCCAUGGCGGGUUUUCCUUAGUUCCGAAAGGGUCUGCCAGGGCGAUUUGCUUCACCGCCUCGGCCCUUACCACCAGCAGCAUUCUGACCUUUCUAUUUAUCACGCUGAUCAUACUCUGCCCUCUGUCUCUUGACAAGUUGCUCAACCUGAUAACACUCCCGAAGGUCGUGGCCUUUGGUCCGGUGGAUCUUGCAGUACGACCCAUCACCUUUCCCAACUUUCUCCAUGCCAGCGGCCUCCCGACAGGCAGUGCACGCGGCAGCUUCCUUGCCGGGGGCCUCAGCCUUGUCCUUCUUGCCGGUACUAGGUGUGCCCAAACCUUCUACAGUCAUCACUGCCUUAUCUCUUGGCUUCUUACUACGCUUCUUGCCAUUCCUCUGACUAGUUGAUUCAUCCUCAUCCUUUGAAUCAACAUUAAUGCAAUCCUUCUCUCCGGGCAACUUCCUUCCCUCUUCCAUUUGGGCACAUUUUUCCACCGGCGUAUAUAGUUGUUUCACAGUCUUGGGCAACCGCAUGUUCAUUUUGGAACGAAUGUGGCAGUUGCGCACAUUAGACUGGAAAGCUUCUAUAAUAGCUGCCAGAUGGAUAUUUGGAAUAUCUCUAUGAACCUUACUGAAUCUCUGCAAAUACUUAUGGAGGGCUUCUCCUUCCUUCUACUGGAGAAGCUAUAGGUCACUGGGCCUGCUGGGCUCUUGGUGGCCCUGGUGAAGGCACUGAUGAACUCGUGGCAUAGGUCUGCCCAUGACGAAAUGGAGUUCUCCGGCAGGUGCAUCAACCAAGACCUCACAUUGGAGGUGAGGGCCAAAGGGAAGUAGUUGGCGAACACCUUCUCAUCUCUUCCCCCGGUAGCCUGAACAGCGAUGGUGUAGAUGCUCAGGAACUCUGCCGGGUUCAACCUCCCGUCGUACUUCUCAGGUAUCUCUGGCUUGAACAUACAAACGGAUGGCCAGUGCACUUGCCGCACCUCUCGUGUAAACACAUGGCAGCCGACCUCGAAAGAUAGGCACCCGCCAACACUGAGUGCAGGCUCGUCGAUGUUGAGGCCAUCACACCCGUCGGUCUGGCGGGGGUCAUUACAGCACCACUCGGCGAUGACGCACGCGUCUCCCCGCCGCCUGUCUUCCGAGGUUCGACGUUGGCCUGGACGUGCUCGUGGGCCAGAAGAGGCCAUCGAUACAUUGUCGGGGUCUUGAUUCUGCCGCACCCUUGCCGGCUGCCAUGGUGGGGACUGAACCGUGGGGACGCCCCCUCCGUAUGGCCAUCGGCGCAGGCGGUGGCUGUUGCUUGGGGAGGUUGUAGUGGGCGAGCUCGUCGUGAGCCCCCAGCUUCGGCGAAACUAAGCAGGCUUUGGAUGGUGGCACGCCACUCAUCCAUCUACUCGAUCGUGGGUGGGAAUCUCAGCAAUAGCUGAGCUCGCGCCAUGGCCUCCGUGGCCGUGCUUGGCAUGGAUGUUGAUGACGUCGACCGCACCAUCGCCUGGCUCUAGAUGGUGCGAGUGGCGGUGGCGACGGCGCCGCGCUGUAACGCCCUCGAUGCGGCUAUAUCUCCCACGUGUUGAGGCACGACUUAGAGGCAUAACCGCAUUGAAAGCAAUGUCGCAAGUUAGGCAAUCUUCACAACAUCCCAUGUAAUAUAGAUAAUAAAAAGGGGGGAUACAUAGUUGGCUUACACUCGCCACGUCAAUCAAAGUACAUAAAUAGCAUUACAACAUUCAAACACUCAUGGCCCGACUACGGCGCCGAAAUAAAAGAUAAACCCAACAUGCGACACGGUCCCGAUCGCCCCAGCUGGGCACCACUACUGAUCAUCAGGGAAAGACACAUAGUAACGGCGGGAAGCUUCAUCGAACUCCCACUUGAGCUCAUGCGCAUCAUCUGGAACAGAAUCAUCAGGCCCUGCAUCUAGUUUGGAAGUAAUCUGUGAGCCACACGGACUCAGCAAUCUCGCACCCUCGCGAUCAAUACUAUUUAAGCUUAUAGGAAAAGGCAAGGUACAAUAUGUGGAGCUGCAGCAAGCGACUAGCAUAUAUGGUGGCUAACCUAUUCGCAAAAGAGAGCGAGGAGAGAUAGCAAAGCGUGAACGAGUAACUAGAGAACACCCUGCGGCAAGCAUUACUCCAACACCGUGUUCGCUUCCCGGACUCCGCCGAGAAGAGACCAUCACGGUAACUCACACAGUUGAUUCAUUUUAAUUAAGUUAAGGUUCAAGUUAUCUACAACCGGACAUUAACAAAUUCCCAUCUGCCCAUAACCGUGGGCACGGCUUUCGAAAGUUCAAAUCCCUGCAGGGGAGUCCCAACUUAGCCCAUGACAAGCUCUCAUGGUCAACGAAGGAAUAGACCUUCCCCCGAGACAUUCCGAUCAGACUCGGUAUCCCAGUUCUACAAGACACUUCGACAAAUUAAAACCAAUCCAGCAACACCACCCGCUGUGCUGACAAAUCCCGAUAGGAGCUGCACAUAUCUCGUUCUCAGGGCACACCGGAUAAGCUAAGCGUACAGAAGCCAACGUAACCCAAGUUGCCAAGGGACGGCCCCGCACGGUGCUCUAGGUUGGACCAACACUUAGAGAAGCACUGGCCCGGGGGUUUAAAAUAAAGAUGACCCUUGAGUCCACGAAACCCAAGGGAAAAGGCUACGUGGCAAAUGGUAAAACCAAGGUUGGGCAUUGUUGGAAAAGCAUUAAUCAAGGCGAACUAUCAAGGGGUUCCCAUUAUCACCCAACCGCGUAAGGAACGCAAAAAUCUGUGAACAUAACACCGAUAUGACGGAAACUAGGGUGGCAAGAGUGGAACAAAACACUAGGAGAGAGGCCGAGCCUUCCACCCUUUACCAAGUAUAUAGAUGCAUUAACAUAACAAGAUAAUAUAAUGAUAUCCCAACAAGUAAAUAAUGUUCCAACAAGGAACGGGCUCCAAUCUUCACCUGCAACUAGCAACACUAUAAGAGGGGCUGAGCAAAGCGGUAACAUAGCCAAUCAACGGUUUGUUAGGACAUGGUGGGUUAGAGGUUUGAGAUGGCAAUUUGGGAGGCAUGAUAAGCAAGUGGUAGGCAUCGUAGCAUAGGCAUAGCAAAAGAGCGGGCAUCUAGCAAAGCAAAGAUAGUAGUGAUUUCGAGGGUAUGAUCAUCUUGCCUGCACAGUUGUCAGAGUUGACUGGAUCCUUAAAAAACAAACUCAACGGGCUCCUCGUUAGCGAACUCGUCUCCCGGCUCUACUCAAACAAGACAACCAAGCAACAAGGACACAAUCAACCACGUGCAAAGCUCAAACAAUAUGAUGCAAACAUGGUAUGCUAUGCGGGAUGCGACAUGUGAUGCAUAUGCAAGAUUUGACAAGGAAUGCAUGAUCUUGGCCUCAACAUGUAAAUCCAAGUGUGCCACUGGAAAGGUGAUAUGAAAUCGCUUGAAAACAAUAUAAAGAAUGCCGGAAUCGGAGUUACGGUUUGGAAAUGGCAAGCGAUUCAAAUAUGACAACGGUCUGCGAUAUACAGCAAGUAGCCAUUUAAAUGCAACAAGAUGAACAUGCUACAACACUCAAACAUCACAACAAAAUAUAUGGAAGGGAUCCAUUCAUGAUGCUUGACAAAAGAGUAACACUGAGCUACGGCCAAUUCAUCCAUUAACAGGUUCAAACAAGCAUCGAAAAAAUGCAUUUCGUAAACAGAUUUCAGACUUGGUGAAAUUAACACUUGUCUGGAAUUCAGAUCAGGUAGCACACUUUGGAGCAUGAAAACUAUAUGUUACAGGACCUAAACAUGGAAAAGUAAAGCAUGGCAUGGAGCUACUCAAAUAGCUUAACAAAAUUCCCUUAGUGACCUUGAGCCAAAAGGGAUCAUAAUAUAUAAUUGCAAGCAUGUGAACAUGGCAAAAACAUAAUCAGAUCACAGACUAGGUGAAAAACUGGAGCAUGCAAAUCAGAUAUCAAGUAGGCAUGUUUACGAGCUCGAUGCACUCACUACAGAGCAUCUCAUGACAAUCUAAGCAUACACCCAUCAAGAAUACACAUUAUACAAGCUAGACAUGGCAAGAACAAUAACAUAGCAUGCACGGAUCAACCACAACAUCCUCGGCAAAAUCGCUAACAAGUAGACAAUUUGCCCAGAUUCACGAAAUAGCAAAAGUAGAGCUUGAUUGACUCAAGCUAGGGUGCUCCAUAAUUGCAAACAAAGACAUGGAUGGAUAGAGAACUACAAGAUUAACAAAACAUCCUUACUGAUCAUCCUCAAAAGAGGCACGGAUCACUAGGAAACAACAUGAACAUAUGGCAUAUUGAGAUAAACAGGUCAAGGACUUAGUGGAAUUGCUAAGUCCCUGAAAUCAGCAUUAACGAAUGCUCCACUUUGCAAGCUUGUGCUAGUCACCACACACAUCACAAAAAUACAUGGGUUUCACCUCUGGAUAGAUGGCAAAACAUAUAACAAAACACAUGUAGAGCUCAGGGGCAUAUCAUGCACACAAUAAACAUGGCAAAAAUGACAAAUAUCUAAUUGGAGCAGCCGAUCUGACAAUUAUCUCAAAUAGCACUCUUCCAACAGCAUUUCGGGCAUCAAGAUGAACUCAAAUGAAAAUGAUGCAAUGAGAUGAAAUGAUGUGCUCUCUGAGACGAACAUUUUGAUAUGCUAUAUGCCCAAAACGGAUCUACGGAUGCAAAGUUACAGCACGAUGAACAAGGGAAAAAUAUUUAGGGACUUCGAGGAGCUCGCCGGGGCCGGAUCCGGGCAAGGUGGAGGCGGCGGCGGGUCGGCGAGCAGUGCGGGGCGGCGCCGGUGGAGAGGGGCGGUGGCGCCGGACGGGCGGCGCGGUGGCCAGCGCCGGCGAGGCGGCGGNNNNNNNNNNNNNNNNNNNNNNNNNNNNNNNNNNNNNNNNNNNNNNNNNNNNNNNNNNNNNNNNNNNNNNNNNNNNNNNNNNNNNNNNNNNNNNNNNNNNNNNNNNNNNNNNNNNNNNNNNNNNNNNNNNNNNNNNNNNNNNNNNNNNNNNNNNNNNNNNNNNNNNNNNNNNNNNNNNNNNNNNNNNNNNNNNNNNNNNNNNNNNNNNNNNNNNNNNNNNNNNNNNNNNNNNNNNNNNNNNNNNNNNNNNNNNNNNNNNNNNNNNNNNNNNNNNNNNNNNNNNNNNNNNNNNNNNNNNNNNNNNNNNNNNNNNNNNNNNNNNNNNNNNNNNNNNNNNNNNNNNNNNNNNNNNNNNNNNNNNNNNNNNNNNNNNNNNNNNNNNNNNNNNNNNNNNNNNNNNNNNNNNNNNNACGGCCAAUGGGCUUGGAGGGCCCCUCCUGGGCUGCCCCGGGCCGGCGGCGGGCGAAGUGGGCGCGGGUGGCGGCGCGCCACGUGGCGACGACGAGUUGGCGGCGGCGGGAUGUCCGGCGGCGGGCGGACAUUGUCCGGCCGUGCGGAUGGAGCGGGGCUAGGGUUAGGGGGAGAGUGGAACCGCGAAUUUUGAGGAGGGGGUCUAUAUAUAGAGGUAAAGGGAGCUUGGAGUGUCCAAACGAGGUGCGGUUUUCGGCCACGCGAUCGUGAUCGAACGCUCUAGAUGAUGGAGAGGGUUUUUGUGGGUUUUGGGCCAACUUGGAGGGGUGUUGGUUUGCAACACACACGAGGCCUUUUCGGUCCCUCGGUUAACCAUUGGAGCAUCAAACGAAGUCCAAAUGGUACGAAACUUGACAGGCGGUCUACCGGUAGUAAACCAAGGCUGCUUGGCAAGUCUUGGUCCAAUUCGGAAAUGUUUAAAACCCCACACACGAAAGAAAGGUAGAAAUGACCACCGGAGGAGAACGGAGCGCCCGAAUGCAAAAUAGACACGGGGAAAAUGCUCGAAUGCAUGAGACGAACACGUAUGCAAAUGCAAUGCACAUGAUGACAUGAUAUGAGAUGCAUGACAACGACAACAACACACGGAGACAAAAACCCGAACCCGAGAAAAUAAAAUAACUUAACGCCAGAAACGGCAAGAGUUGGAGUACAUAUUGUGAAAAACAUAUCCGGGGUGUUACACGUGCCCACGCUAUUGUGGGACGACCACCGGGAAAGUGGGGUCGUGCAGCGGUGGCGCUCGAAGAUCAGCGGCUCCGUUGAGCGCAGCGGCUUGGUGAGCUUGUCCGGGAGGAGGCCCAGGCGCCGCAGCCAUUCCCGUGGCAGGGGCGACCGGAGGGCGAUGGCUUGCCCUGGACCGAGCACCAUUGUUGCGGCUGUGCUCACCAGCUAGGGGACGGGGCGCGGGCGGAGUGACCCCUUGCAUGUGCCUUGCAGAGCUUGACCGUCGGGAUGCUGCUGAUGUUGUUCUCCUCCGAAAGCUCCGGCCCUUGUGUCAUCUGCGGGGGAGGUGGUAAUGGCGCCACCUACGCCAACCAUGCCCCCAAUGGCGUCCAUGUCCUCGCGCGCCCCCGUGCCCCUCGUGGCAUUAGAGGCCGCGGGCGGAGGAUCCUUCGAGGUGGAUGGAUGAGCCGAGGUGCCAGACUUCUUCUUGGCCACCAUGGUCGAUGGCGCUGUCGAGGAUGACGCGCAGCGUAUGUUUUCAGGUUCGUGCAAGCACACCCCUACCUGGCAUGCCAAAGAUGUCGCGGGAUUUCCGCGACCACCUAUGGAACCGGGUGGCCCCUUGUUGGUUCAGCAGGGGGACGAUGUGUUGCACAAAAAGCAGACCGACAUAUGGCAGCGCGUCGGGGAGCACACAAGAGAUUUACCCAGGUUUGGGCCACCGCGAGGCGUAAGACCCUACUCCUGCUUUAGUGGAUUGAUGGGAGGAAUGAAUGUGGUGGUGCAUAGUACACUUGCCCAACAAGGUUUGCCUACGGCGUCUACACGUAUGUGGUGGCUUGGGGUUGUCAACCUUCUAACCCCUCCUACGAGUGCCAUGGGCCUCCUUUUACAGAUUAAGGGGUCACCACAGUGGCAAAGUGGUCAUUAUCCACUGAUAUGAUAGCAAAUAGUGCUAUCAUACCUAACUUUGUAGGCUGACAGGCUGCAUUAAAUGCACCUCUUAGUGUCACAUCAUUGGGAGCCCGGCAAGGCUUACCGGGCUAUCUUUCCAGCUCCGCACCUGCUCUCUUGACAUGUCACAGGACGGGUGUCAUCUGUAGGCUUCUCUAUAGGAAAUGGCUACCAUGUGGCGAAUGGCUGCCACUUAAUCAUCUUGUGUCUUGACACUGCACUGAUGGAUGACGUGAGUCGUGCUUGAGUGGUUGGUGGGGCGGUUCUGCCCUCGCGAGUCCAGGCAGGCUCUGCCGGGGAGCCUCGGUUGCUUGCUUUUGGUGGUGGCCUUGCCCCUUGCCGGGCUCGCCUGCUUGGAAAGGGAGGCCCUUCUCUUGCCGAUAUCCCGUUUCUUAUGCUCAAUAUUGGUCCUUCUGAGCCGCAUGUUGGUUCUUCAAAUCUCUUUGUUCUUCAAUCUCUGACUUGAGCUAGUGCUUCAAUCUUGAUCUUGUACCUGUGCACAGUUGGUCCACAGACCCAGGGUUUGUUGCAAUGACACUAGUGCUUUGGAGAUGGAGAUCAAAAGCACAAGUUGAUGGCCAUAUCAUGUCACUUAUGAUUUGCAUGUGAUGUUAAUCCUUUUAUGCAUCUUAUUUUGCUUAGGACGACGGUAGCAUUGUAAGAUGAUCCCUCACUAAAAUUUCAAGAUAAAACUGUGUUCUUCCCACGUGUGCACUAUUGCGAAAGUUCAUCGUUUCAAAGCACCACGUGAUGAUCGGGUGUGAUAGACUCUACGUUCACAUAGAACGGGUGCAAUCUAGUUUUGCACAUGUAGAACAGUUGGGUUAAACUUGAUGAGCCUAACAUGUACAAACAUGGCCUCAGAACACAAGAGACUGAAAGGUCGAACAUGAGUCAUAAAGUAGAUAUGAUCAACAUGGAGAUGUUCACCAUUGAAACCACCUCAUCUCACAUGAUGAUCGGACUUGGGUUGGUGAAUUUUGAUCAUGUUACACACGGACGACCAGAGGGAUGUCGAUUUGAGUGGGAGUUCUUAGGUAAUAUGAUUAAUUGAACUCUUUAUGAUGAACAAUAGUCUAAAAAAAUUAUGUUGUAGAUCAAUAGCUCGCAUUGUAGCUCCCUGUUUUAAUACGUUCCUAGAAAAAGACUAAGUUGAAAGAUAUUGUAAGCAAUUAUGAGGACUAGGGCCAUAGUCUGAGGAUUGUCCUCACUGCUGCACAGAAGGCUUAUGUCCUUGAUGCACCGCUCGGUGUGCCAACCCCUGUAGCGUCAUAUGUGGAUGUUGUGAACAUAUGGCAGACAUGUUUAGAUGACUACUUGAUAGUUUAGUGCGCCAUGCUUUACGGCUUAGAAUCGGGGCUCCAAAGACGUUUUUGAAUGCCAUGGAACAUAUGAGAUGUUCCAAGAGCUAAAAUUGGUAUUUCAGACUCAUUCCCAUGUUGAGAGGUAUGAGACCUCUGACAAGUUAUUUGCCUACAAGAUGGAGGAGAAUAGCUCAGCCAGUGAGCAUGUGCUCAGAAUGUCUGGGUGCUAAAAUUCCUUGAAUCAAGUGGGAGUUAAUCUUCCAAAUAAGAUAGUGAUUGACAGAGUUCUCAAGACACUAUCACCAAGCUACUAGAACUUCGUGAUGAACUAUAACUUGCAAGGGAUGGAGAUGAUCCCGGAGCUAUUCGCGGUAGGACGUGGAUGUAGAAAUCAAGAAGGAGCAUCAAGUGUUGAUGGUUAACAAGAUCACUGGUUUCAAAACUCUACAUCAGGAUGCCUCACCAGAGCGACGAAGGGACUGAGGAGUAAAAAGAAUCCUACUCUCCGAUAUAUAUAUAUAUAUAUAUAUAUAUAUAUAAUCCUAAAUGAAUCAAAACAUUUUUCUAGACUCAACAACGCCAGCGAUUCGAUCAAGCGGGGGGCUCCUAAGUCAGGGAAGGCUCUAAUUACCAACUUGUAACACCCACGAUGUGGCUAUAUCUCCCAUGUGUCGAAGCACGACUUAGAGGCAUAACCACAUUGUAAGCAAUGUCGCAAGUGGGGUAAUCUUCACACAACCCAUGUAAUGAAAUAAGGAAAAGAGAUACAUACUUGGCUUACAAUCGCCACAUCACACAAAUAGCAUAAAUAUCAUUACAUUCAUCCAGAUACAAUCAAGGUCCGACUACGGAGCCAAAAAUAAAGAACAACCCCAAAUGCAACAAAGUGCCCGAUCGUCCCAACUGGGCACCACUACUGAUCGUCUGGAAAGGAAACGUAGUAUCAUCCUGAGUCCUCAUCAAACUCCCACUUGAGCUCAGUCAAAUCCCCUAGAGCGGUAUCAUCAGUCCCUGCAUCUGGUUUUGAAGUAAUCUGUGAGUCACGGGGACUCAGCAAUCUCACACCCUCGCGAUCAAGACUAUUUAAGCUUAUAGGAAGGGUAAAGGUAUGAGGUGGAGGCGCAGCAAGCGACUAGCAUAUAUGGUGGCUAGCAUACGCAAAUGAGAGCGAGAAGAGAAAGGCAAAGGCACGGUUGAUAAACUAUGAUCAAGAAGUGAUCCUAGAACAACCUACGUUCAAGCAUAACUCGAGACCGUGUUCUCUUCUCGGACUCCGCCGAAAAGAGACCAUCAUGGCCACACACUCUGUUGAUUCAUUUUAAUUAAGUUAAGAUUCAGGUUUUCCAGAACCGGACAUUAACAAAUUCCCAUCUGCCCAUAACCGCGGGCACGGCUUUAGAAAGUUCAAAUCCCUGCAGGGGUUUCCCAACUUAGCCAAUCACAAGCUCUCACGGUCAAUGAAGGAUAUUCCUUCUCCCAAGACAAUCCGAUCAGCCUCGGAAUCCCGAUUACAAGACAUCUCGACAAUGGUAAAACAAGUCCAGCAAAGCCACCCGAAUGUGCCGACUAAUCCCGAUAGGAGCUGCACAUAUCUCGUUCUCAGGGCACACCGGAUAAGCAAUCUGUACAACUAAAACUAGCCCUUGAGUUUCCCCGAGGUGGCACUGCAAGGGGCUCUAGUUUGGACCAACACUCAGAGGAGCACUGGCCCAGGGGUUUAAAUAAAGAUGACCCUCGGGCUCCGGAAACCCAAGGGAAAAAGAGGCUAGGUGGAAAAUGGCAAAACCAAUGUUGGGCAUUGCUGAAAGAGUUCUAUUCAAGGAGAACUGUCAAGGGGUUCCCAUUAUAACCCAACCGUGUAAGGAACGCAAAAUCAAGGAACAUAACACCGGUAUGACGGAAACUAGGGCGGCAAGAGUGGAACAAAACACCAGGCAUAAGGCCGAGCCUUCCACCCUUUACCAAGUGUAUAGAUGCAUUAAAAUAGACAAGAUAUAAUAAUGAUAUCCCAACAAUAAACAUGUUCCAACAAGGAACAAACUCCAAUCUUCACCUGCAACUAGCAACGCUAUAAGAGGGGCUGAGCAAAGCGGUAACAUAGCCAAAAAACGGUUUCCUAGGACAAGGUGGGUUAGAGGUUGGACAUGGCAAUAUGGGAGGCAUGAUAAUAAAGUGGUAGGUAUCGUAGCAUAGGCAUAGCAAUAGAGCGAGCAUCUAGCAAGCAAAGAUAGAAGUGAUUUCGAGGGUAUGGUCAUCUUGCCUGCAAAGUUCUUUGAGUUGACGUUAGCUUGAUCUUCGUAAGCGUACUCAACGGGCUCCUCGAUCACGUACUCUUCUCCUGGCUCUACCCAAAGAAAGAACACAAACAAAGGGAACCACAAUCAACCACGUGCAAUGCACAAGCAACAUGAUGCAAAACAUGGCAUGAUAUGCGGGACGUGAUAUGCAAUGCAUAUGCAUGCUUUAGAAAGGAAAGAUUGAACCUGGCCUCAACUUGGAAAUCCAAGAGUGCCACUGGAAAGAGGAGUUGGUUUCGGUCGAAAUCAAUAUAAAGAUCACUGGAAUCGGAUGCACGGGUUGCAAAUGGCAAGCAAAACAAAUAUGGCACCAAUCUGCGCUUAACAGCACGAGGCCAUCUAAAUGCAUCAAGAACAACAAGCUACUGCACUCUAACAUAAAAACAAAACGUAUGGAAGGGUUCCACUCAAGAUGAUUGACAAAAGAUGAACACUGAGCUACGGCUAAUUCACUCAAUAAUAGAUUCAAACAAGCAUGGCAAAAUUGCAAAAAAUAUCACGUUACAGACUUGGUGAAAAUAACAUGUCAGGAAUUUAACAUCAGGAAACAAUGUUUAGAGAAAGAUAUCAAUGUGCUACAGGAACAUAUCAUGGCAAAGCAAGGCAUGGCAUGAAGCUACUCAAAGCAUACAACAAAAGUCCCUUACUGGCCAUAAGCCAAAAGGGAUCAGAAAAUACAUUGGCAACCAUGUGAACAUGGCAAUUGUCGUUAGCAGAUUCAGACUUAGUAGAAAACUGGAACAUGGCAAAACAGAUAUUAAGUAGGCAUAUUUACGAGCUCGAUGCACUCACCACAAGGCAUUGCAUGACAAACUAAGCAUACACCCAACAAGUAGACAUGGCAUAGAAGCUAAGCAUGGCAAGAACAACCUCAUAGCAUGCAUGGAUCAACUACAACAAGCUCGGCAAAAAUGCUUAACAUGUAAACAUUCUGCUAGGAAAAUUUUAUAGCAAAAGUAGAGCUCGAUUGAGUCAAGCUAGGGUGCUCCAUAAUUGCCAACAAAGACAUGGAUGGAUAGAGCACCACAAUAUCUACAAAACAUCCUUACUGAUCAUGCUCAAAAGAGGCAUGGAUCACUCUAUAGCAACAUGAAUACAUGGCAUAAAAAUAUUAUCAGGGCAAUGACUUAGAAUAUUUCUAAGUCCCUGAAAUCAGCAACAUUAAGAGGGCUACUUGGCAUACUUGUGCUAGUCACCACAAAGAUCACAAAAAUACACGGCAUACACCCCUGUAAAGAUGGCAUGACAUACUUCAAAACACAUGUAGGGCUCAAGUUCAUAGGAGGCACACACUAAACAUGGCAAAAAUGACAAAUGUCCAAUUCCUGAUAAGGAUCUGAAACUAAUAUAAACUAGCACUCUUGCAACAGCAUGUAGGGCAUCAAGAUGAACUCAAAUGAACAUGGUGCAAUGGAAUCAAAUGAAGUACUCGUCGAGACGAACAAUUUGAUAUGCUACACACACAAAAUGGAGCCACGGUUGUAGAGUUAUGAUGCGAUGAAGUUAUGCAAAAAUACUGAAACGGAGGCAAAAAGACAACCCGAUCCAGAUCUAGGGUUCCUCGCGGCGCACGAACCGAGGUUCACCGGAGAGGGAGCUUGAGGUCGCCGGACUUGGAGGGAGAAGCCGGCGAGGGAGGAGGCGGCAGAUCCGGGGUCGGGGACGACGCCGACGAGCUCCUGCGGUGGCGCGACGAGGCGAUGUGGUCGCGGGUCGGGGCGGCCUGGGGCGGCGGCCACCGGNNNNNNNNNNNNNNNNNNNNNNNNNNNNNNNNNNNNNNNNNNNNNNNNNNNNNNNNNNNNNNNNNNNNNNNNNNNNNNNNNNNNNNNNNNNNNNNNNNNNNNNNNNNNNNNNNNNNNNNNNNNNNNNNNNNNNNNNNNNNNNNNNNNNNNNNNNNNNNNNNNNNNNNNNNNNNNNNNNNNNNNNNNNNNNNNNNNNNNNNNNNNNNNNNNNNNNNNNNNNNNNNNNNNNNNNNNNNNNNNNNNNNNNNNNNNNNNNNNNNNNNNNNNNNNNNNNNNNNNNNNNNNNNNNNNNNNNNNNNNNNNNNNNNNNNNNNNNNNNNNNNNCGGGGUGGGCCCACUAUGGGCUCCGGCGGGCUGCACGGUGGGAGGAGGCGGUGGUGACAGGUGGCGGCGCGUGAUUGGCGGCGGCGGCGAUGUUCGGCGCGGACCGGACAUGUCCGGCGAGCGGAGAGGAGCGGGGCUUAGGUCUAGGGUUGGAAGGGAUCCGGAAUUUUUGGGGGUGUGGCCUUUUUAUAGGUAGGAGGAGCUAGGAGGCUCCAAAUUAAGCACGGUUUGUGGCCACGUGAUUGUGAUCGAUAGACCUAGAUGAUGGGGGGGUAGGUGGGUUUUGGGCCACUUUGGAGGGGUGUUGGGCUGCAACACACAUGAGGCCUUCUCGGCUCCUCGGUUAAUCGUUGGAGUAUCAAACGAAGUCCAAAUGGCACGAAACUUGGCAGGCGAUCUCCCGGUAGUAAACCAAGGCCGCUUGGAGAUCUCGGUCCAAUCCGAGAACGUUUAAUACCCGCACAUGAAAAGAGGUAGAAAGGGACACCGGAGGACAUAGGAGCGCCGGAAUGCAAAACGGACAACGGGGAAAAUGCUCGGAUGCAUGAGACGAACACGUAUGCGAAUGCGAUGCACAUGAUGACAUGAUAUGAGAUGCAUGACAAAGACAAAACAACACAAAGACAAAAAACCCGACAAUGAGGAAAUAUCAUAAAUUAGUGCCGAAAAUGGCAAGAGUUGGAAUACAAAUAUGGCAGGUUACAUACGAGGUGUUACAACAAUCCACCACUACGAAAGGAUCUCGUCCCGAGAUCUAGGACUGGAAAAACUCCGGGUACUCCGAACGGAGGUGAUCCUCGCGUUCCCAGGUGGCUUCAUGGUCGGAAUGAUGUGACCACUUGACUUUUAGGAAUUUGAUAGACUUGUUGCGAGUCUUGCGCUCAGUUUCUUCAAGAAUAGCAAUGGGGUGCUCAUGAUAAGACAGGUCUUCUUGGAAAUCAAUCUCUUCGAAGUUGACGGUGCGGUCAGGAGUCUUGAAACACUUGCGGAGUUGAGACACGUGAAACACGUCAUGCACGUUUGCAAAGUUGGAGGGAAGCUCAAGUUGAUAGGCGAGAUCGCCUAUUUUGUCGAUGAUCUCGAAAGGACCCACGUAUCUCGGGGCAAGCUUCCCUUUUAUACCAAAGCGAUGAGUACCAUUCAUUGGAGAGAUGCGGAGGUAGACAUGGUCUCCGAUCUCGAAAGCCAAGUCACGAUGCUUGCUAUCAUAGUAACUCUCCUGGCGUGAUUGCACAGCUUUGAGAUUUUCACGAAUGACUUUGCACAUUUCUUCAGCCUCUGUGAUCAAGUCAUUUCCAAGAAGUUGACAUUCACCCAUCUCUGACCAGUUAAGAGGAGUAUGACACUUCCUGCCAUAGAGAAUCUCGAAUGGGGCUUUGCCCGAACUCGCUUGGAAACUGUUGUUGUAGGAGAACUCGGCAUAUGGAAGACAAUCUUCCCACUUCAUGCCGAAAGAGAUGACACAAGCCCUGAGCAUAUCUUCAAGAAUCCGAUUUAAUCGCUCGACUUGGCCACUGGUUUGGGGAUGAAAAGUUGUGUUGAAGCGAAUGUUGGUGCCCACAGCCUUCUCAAAAGAAUCCUAGAACUUAGAGGUGAAGAUGCUGCCAUGAUAUGAAGAUAUCAACUGCGGAAUGCCGUGCAGAGAGACAAUCCUGGAGGUAUAUAGCUCUGCCAACUGAUCUGCUGUGAUAGAUUCUUUGAUAGGAAGAAAAUGAGCCACUUCGGUGAGCUUGUCGAUGACAACAAAGAUAACAUCAUUGCCACGCUUGGACAUUGGAAAUCCAGUCACGAAAUCCAUCUCAAUAUGGUCAAAUUUCCAUUCUGGAAUGGCAAGAGGUUGGAGGAGACCAGCUGGUCGUUGGUGUUCUGCUUUCACUCUUCUGUAGACAUAACAUUCGUUCACGAACUGAGCAAUCUCGCGCUCCAUUCGAGUCCACCAAUACGACUGCUUGAGGUCCUGGUACAUCUUUGUACUUCCAGGGUGAAUAGACAGGAGUGAAUUGUGAGCCUCGUUCAUAAUGGCUUUAUCAAGGUCACCUUUAGGAACAACAAUGCGAUCCUCGAAGAAUAGAGUAUCCUUGUCAUUAAGGCAAUAGCACUUGUACUUGGGUUGACUCUUGGCAAUCCCAAUCUUCACCUUCUUCACCAUAGCAUCAAGAAGUUGAGCAUCGCGAAUCUGGUCAUCCAAAGUAGGAGAGACUUGGAGGUUGGCAAGGAAUCCUUGAGGAACAACUUGGAGAUUAAGUUUGCGGAAAGCUUCACAAAGCUCUGGUUGGUAGGGCUUGCUAAUCAAACUGUUGCAGUAAGCCUUCCUGCUCAAUGCGUCAACAAUUACAUUGGCCUUCCCUGGAGUAUAUUCAAUACUCGGAUUAUACACUUGAAUCAUUUCGACCCAACGAGUCUGCCUGAGGUUGAGGUUUGGCUGAGUGAAGAUGUACUUAAGACUCUUGUGAUCAGUGAAGAUGUCCACUUUUCUUCCCAAUAAGAGAUGUCUCCAAGUUAAAAGAGCAUGGACAACUGCCGCCAACUCGAGGUCAUGAGUGGGGUAGUUCUUUUCGUUGGGCUUCAACUGGCGAGAGGUAUAGGCCACAACUUUCUUCUCUUGCAUCAACACUGCACCAAGACCUUGAAGGGAAGCAUCACAGAAGACCUCAAACGGUUUGGAUUCAUCAGGAGGAGUCAGAACUGGAGCAGUGACUAACUUCUCUUUCAGGGUGUUGAAAGCAACGUCACAUUCAAGCGUCCACACGUACUUCACAUGCUUCUGGAGAAUGUUGGAAAGAGGCUUCGCGAUCUUAGAGAAGUUCUCAACGAACCUUCGACAAUAGCUUCCAAGCCCAAGGAAGCUGUGGAGUUGCCUCACGUUCUGAGGCGGUUCCCUAUUCACAAUUGCAGACAUUUUCUCAGGAUUCACAGCUAUGCCCUUGGCAGAGAUGAUAUGCCCAAGGUAGAGAACCUCAUCGAGCCAAAACUCGCACUUUGAAAACUUCACAUAGAACUGAUGUUCUCUGAGUUUGUCCAGAACCAAUCUCAAGUGCUUGGCAUGAUCCUCCUUGUUCUUGGAAAAGACCAAAAUGUCGUCGAGGUAGACCAAGACGAAGUCAUUUGUGUAGGCGUUAAAGAUGAAGUUCAUCAUGUGAGAGAAUGUUGGAGGAGCGUUGACAAGGCCGAAAUACAUGACCGUGUAUUCAUAUGAACCAUAGCUUGUUCUGAAUGCUGUCUUGGGGAUAUCUUCUUCAUGAAUGUGAAUCUGAUGAUAGCCCAUACGGAGAUCAAGCUUGGAGAAUACUUGAGCACCUUUGAGUUGUUCGAAAAGCUCAUUGAUGUUGGGAAGUGGGUACUUGUUCUUUAUGGUCUUCUUGUUCAAUGGACGGUAGUCGACACAAAGUCGGUCUGUUCCAUCCUUCUUCUUGACAAAAAGAACACCACAACCCCAUGGAGAAGAACUUGGUCGGAUGAGACCCAUACGCUCUUGAAUAUCGAGUUGCUUCUUCAGCUCCUUCAACUCUUCAGGUCCAAGCUUGUAAGGACGUUGGCAAACAGGUUCCGUGCCAGGCUCAAGAUCGAUGACGAAUUCAACUGGUCGGUGUGGAGGCAUCCCUGGAAGCUCUUCUGGAAAGACGUCUUGAUAUUCACAAACGACUAGAAUUUGAGAGAUGGCAUCCAACUUGCCCUUCUCAUUGAGAGAAAACAGUCGGAUGGUAUCAUCAUGAGCGGCAAAGACGAUUACAUCCUCAGACGAAUGUGUCAAUUGAAUCUCCCUGGCAGCACAAUCAAGAUGAGCCUUGUGCUUAGACAGCCAGUCCAUUCCAAGAAUAAGAUCAAUAUCCGAGUCACCAAGAACAUUAGGAGAGUACAUGAACUUAUAGUCGCCCAACGUAAUAGAAACAUCCGGAAUGAAAACUCGAGAAGUCAUUUGUCGGGCCGGAGAAACAAUAGCCAAAGGUCUCGGCAAAACUUGAGUAACCAAAUGAUGCUUAGAUGCAAAAGGUCUCGAGAUGAAACAAUGCGAUGCACAAGUGUCAAAAAGAACUUUUGCAGGAAUAUCGUUAACAGGAAGGUUACCCAUGAUCACAUCUGACGAGUCCUCUGCCUGAGCUGCGUUCAUCAUGUUGACCUUGGCGUGCUUGGGAUUAUGCUUGACUAAUGCGAUACUCGCAGAUCUCACAGGAGGAGGAGGAGGAACACACCUCUAAUUGAAGCAUUUGUUGGCAUAGUGACCCUUCUGCUGACACUUGUUGCACGUGACCUCUGAGAGCGGAAGGUGAUACGGAGGACUUGAUCUUGGAGCAUUAGACGAAGUCUUGUUCUGAAAGCCUGGGUUGGGUGGGUGGGAAGAUCCAUUGCCACCUUUGCUCUUCUGUUGAUAAGGCUGACAGAAUGGAGGAGGAGGAGGAGGCAACCAAUACUUUUCCUGCUUAGUAGCCACUUGAGUUGAGGAAGAAGGAGGUGCAUCCCUGACUCGCUUCUUGGAAGCAUCGCACUUGAGCUGAGUAGUCUCUUGUUUCAGUGUCGUGUUGUACAACUCAUCGUACUUCUGCGGCUCAAAAAGCAUGAGAGCUAGUUGGAGAUCUUCUCUGAGGCCACCUCUGAACUGAUAAAUCAUGCUCUUCUCGUCAGGGACGUCUUGCUUAGCGAAAGGAGCAAGCUUCUGGAACAUGAUGUUAUACUGGUAAACAAACAAGCUGCCUUGCUUCAGAUUGCGGAACUCCUCACGCUUGCUCUCAACAACACUUUGAGGAAUGUGGUGAGCUUUGAAGUCUUGACGGAAUUCAUCCCAGGUAAUCACACGACCUCCUCUAGAAUCUUUGUAUUGCUGAUACCACUCUGCAGCUUGGUCUUUGAGUUGGAACAAAGCAAACUUGACAAAGUCCUCAAGCCUGAUGUUGCUGCACUCGAAAUGCUUGCAGAUAUCAAAAAGCCAAUCAUCAGCGUCUGUUGCCUCGACACAGUUACUGAAGGUCUUUGGCUGGUUUGCAAGGAACUGGUUGAGUGUAGCAAACUGAUUCUGAAAGUUGCCAUGGCCUUGAUUCCCUUGGUUACGCUCUUGCAAGAGUUGCAUGAGCAUCUGCUUGUUUGCAUUGGUAGCGGCCAUCACAGCUUGCCAUGCCUUCGGAGGUGGAGGUGGUGGUGGCAGAUAAGGAUUCUGACGCGUUGGAGGAGCCAUCCUGAAGAGGGUGACAUCCGUUAGCAUCUUGACAGACAUAUAUUCAAGUUGAAUCAAAUGGAUCGAAAUUGCAACAUAUAGUCUUAACAUCCGAAGAAAAUGAACAAAUGAAUUCCAAUUGAAAUGGUCACACUUCCAUAAAUUGAGAAGCCACUUAGAUAGAGGUGGAAGAAUAAAACAACAAGGUACAGACAAGAACAAAUACUUGGCAAGGAUUACACAAUCACAAACCAAAUAUUCGCGGGAGAAAUACUAGAGCUACAUGAAUUCCCACCUAUGAAACUCCCGAACCUUUCCGGUUAUGCAAUCAGGUGUUGGGGAUACAUGGGAAGCAUAAUAUCACACCCAAAGCUAGCAAAUCCUACAUCCAGUUGUAUCCAUCCUUCAACACAUAACCAAGAAACCUUCGGAAAUCAUUUACCUCAACCUUCGAAAAGCAUCCGUUAAACGAGUUAUGGCAAUACUCCCGAACUCCCGCCCCAGUACUGGGUGGCGUCGAGGUUCUCUCACCAACAACUGCAUAAAGGAGAUUUUCGAUGUCAGCGAAACUCAGGUAUUCCAGAAUUGCAAUGAUAAAAUUGUGAAGACAACACCUCGGAGCUCAACUCCCCGGGACACUGCGACACCCCCUAAAUGUCAGGAGGCACCAAGAACAAUGUUCUCGUCACAAAACCAUCGGAAUGAUUCCAAGAUACCUACGUUAUCCUAAUUUUUUUAGUGAAAUUUGAGAAGAGAAGAGUCAAAACUCUACGUCAGGAUGCCUCACCGGAGCGACGAAGGGACUGAGGAGUAAAAAGAAUCCUACUCUCCGAUAUAUAUAUAAUCCUAAAUGACUCAAAACAUUUUUCUAGACUCAACAACGCUAGCGAUUCGAUCAAGCACGGGGCUCCUAAGUCGGGGAAGGCUCUAAUUACCAACUUGUAACGCCCACGAUGCGGCUAUAUCUCCCACGUGUCAAAGCACGACUUAGAGGCAUAACCGCAUUGUAAGCAAUGUCGCAAGUUGGGUAAUCUUCACACAACCCAUGUAAUGAAAUAAGGAAAAGAGAUACAUAGUUGGCUUACAAUCGCCACAUCACACAAAUAGCAUAAAUAUCAUUACAUUCAUCCAGAUACAAUCAAGGUCCGACUACGGAACCAAAAAUAAAGAACAACCCCAAAUUCAACAAAGUCCCCAAUCGUCCCAACUGGGCACCACUACUGAUCGUCUGGAAAGGAAACGUAGUAUCGUCCUGAGUCCUCAUCGAACUCCAACUUGAGCUCAGUCGAAUCCCCUGGAGCGAUAUCAUCGGUCCCUGCAUCUGGUUUUGAAGUAAUCUGUGAGUCACGGGGACUCAGCAAUCUCACACCCUCGCGGUCAAGACUAUUUAAGCUUAUAGGAAGGGUAAAGGUAUAAGGUCGAGCUGCAGCAAGCGACUAGCAUAUAUGGUGGCUAACAUAUGCAAAUGAGAGCAAGAAGAGAAAGGCAAAGGCACGGUCGAGAAACUAUGAUCAAGAAGUGAUCCUAGAACAACCUACAUUCAAGCAUAACUCAAAACCAUGUUCUCUUCUCGGACUCCGCCGAAAAGAGACCAUCACAGCCACACACUUUGUUGAUUCAUUUUGAUUAAGUUAAGAUUCAGGUUUUCUACAACCAGACAUUAACAAAUUCCCAUCUGCCCAUAAUUGCAGGCACGACUUUCGAAAGUUCAAAUCCCUGCAGGGGUUUCCCAACUUAGCCCAUCACAAGCUCUCACGGUCAACGAAGGAUAUUCCUUCUCCCAAGACAAUCCGACCAGACUCGGAAUCCCGGUUACAAGACAUCUCCGUUGGAACAAAGCAAACUUGACAAAGUCCUCAGGCCUGAUGUUGCUGCACUCGAAAUGCUUGCAGAUAUCCACAAGCCAAUCAUCAGCGUCUGUUGCCUCGACACAGUUACUGAAGGUCUUUGGCUGGUUUGUGAGGAACUGGUUGAGUGUAGCAAACUGAUUCUGAAAGUUGCCAUGGCCUUGAUUCCCUUGGUUACGCUCUUGCAAGAGUUGCAUGAGCAUCUGCUUGUUUGCAUUGGUAGCGGCCAUCACAUCUUGCCAUGCCUCCAGAGGUGGAGGUGGUGGCGGCGGAUAAGGAUUCUGACGCGUUCGAGGAGCCAUCCUAAAGAGGGUGACAUCCGUUAGCAUCUUGACAGACAUAUAUUCAAGUUGAAUCAAAUGGAUCGAAAUUGCAACAUAUAGUCUUAACAUCCGAAGAAAAUGAACGAAUGAAUUCCAAUUGAAAUGGUCACACUUCCAUAAAUUGCGAAGCCACUUAGAUAGAGGUAGAAGAAUAAAACAACAAGGUACGGACAAGAACAAAUACUUGGCAAGGAUUACACAAUCACAAACCAAAUAUUCACGGGAGAAAUACUAGAGCUACAUGAAUUCCCACCUAUGAAACUCCCGAACCUUUCCGGUUAUGCAAUCAGGUGUUGGGGAUACAGGGGAAGCAUAAUAUCUCACCCAAAGCUAGCAAAUCCUACAUCCAGUUGUAUCCAUCCUUCAACACAUAACCAAGAAACCUUCAGAAAUCAUUUACCUCAACCUUCGAAAAGCAUCCGUUAUACGAGUUAUGGCAAUACUCCCGAACUCCCGCCCCUGUACUGGGUGGCGUCGAGGUUAUCUCACCAACAACUGCAUAAAAGAGAUUUUCGAUGUCGGCGAAACUCAGGUAUUCCAGAAUUGCAACGAUAAAAUUGUGACGACAACACCUCGGAGCUUAACUCCCCGGGGCACUGCAACAACCCCUAAAUGUGAGGAGGCACCAAGAACAAUGUUCUCGUCACAAAACCAUAGGAACGAUUCCAAGAUACCCGCAUGAUCCUAAAUUUUUUUAGUGAAAUUUGAGAAGAGAAGUGUCAAAACUCUACGGCAGGAUGCCUCACCAGAGCGACGAAGGGACUGAGGAGUAAAAAGAAUCCUACUCUCCGAUAUAUAUAUAUAUAUAUAUAUAUAUAUAUAUAUAUAUAUAUAUAAUCCUAAAUGACUCAAAACAUUUUUCUAGACUCAACAACGCCAGCGAUACGAUCAAGCACAGGGCUCCUAAGUCGGGGAAGGCUCUGAUUACCAACUUGUAGUGCCCACGAUGCGGCUAUAUCUCCCACGUGUCGAAGCACGACUUAGAGGCAUAACUGCAUUGUAAGCAAUGUCGCAAGUGGGGUAAUCUUCACACAACCCAUGCAAUGAAAUAAGGAAAAGAGAAACAUAGUUGGCUUACAAUCGCCACGUCACACAAAUAGCAUAAAUAUCAUUACAUUCAUCCAGAUACAAUCAAGGUCCGACUACGGAACCAAAAAUAAAGAACAACCCCAAAUGCAUCAAAGUCCCCGAUCAUCCCAACUGGGCACCACUACUGAUCAUCUGGAAAGGAAACGUAGUAUCGUCCUGAGUCCUCAUCGAACUCCCACUUGAGCUCAGUCGAAUCCCCUGGAGCGGUAUCAUCGGUCCCUGCAUCUGGUUUUGAAGUAAUCUGUGAGUCACGUGGACUCAGCAAUCUCACACCCUCGCGAUCAAGACUAUUUAAGCUUAUAGGAAGGGUAAAGGUAUGAGGUGGAGCUGCAGCAAUUGACUGGCAUAUAUGGUGGCUAACAUACGCAAAUGAGAGCAAGAAGAGAAAGGCAAAGGCACGGUCAAGAAACUAUGAUCCAGAAGUGAUCCUAGAAUAACCGCGGGCACGGCUUUCGAAAGUUCAAAUCCAUGCAGGGGUUUCCCAACUUAGCCCAUCACAAGCUCUCACGAUCAAUGAAGGAUAUUCCUUCUCCCAAGACAAUCCGACCAGACUUGGAAUCCCGGUUACAAGACAUCUCGACAAUGGUAAAACAAGUCCAGCAAAGCCACCCGAAUGUGCCGACAAAUCCCGAUAGGAGUUGCACAUAUCUCGUUCUCAGGGCACACCGGAUAAGCAAUCCGUACAACUAAAACCAGCCCUCGAGUUUCCCCGAGGUGGCGCUGCAAGGGGCUCUAGUUUGGACCAACACUCAAAGGAGCACUGGCCCUGGGGUUUAAAUAAAGAUGACCCUCGGGCUCCGAAAACCCAAGGGAAAAAGAGGCUAGGUGGCAAAUGGUAAAACCAAUGUUGGGCAUUGAUGGAAGAGUUUUAUUCAAGGCGAACUGUCAAGCGGUUCCCAUUAUAACCCAACCGUGUAAGGAACGCAAAAUCAAGGAACAUAACACCGGUAUGACGGAAACUAGGGCGGCAAGAGUGGAACAAAACACCAGGCAUAAGGCCGAGCCUUCCACCCUUUACCAAGUGUAUAGAUGCAUUAAAAUAGAUAAUAUAUAAUAAUGAUUUCCCAACAAUAAACAUGUUCCAACAGGGAACAAACUCCAAUCUUCACCUGCAACUAGCAACGCUAUAAGAGGGGCUGAGCAAAGCGGCAACAUAGCCAAACAAAGGCUUGCUAGGACAAGGUGGGUUAGAGGUUGAACAUGGCAAUAUGGGAGGCAUGAUAAGAAAGUGGUAGGUAUCGUAGCAUAGGCAUAGCAAUAAAGCGAGCAUCUAGCAAGCAAAGAUAGAAGUGAUUUCGAGGGUAUGGUCAUCUUGCCUGCAAAGUUCUCCGAGUUGACGUUAGCUUGAUCCUCGUAAGCAUACUCAACGGGCUCCUCGAUCACGUACUCGUCUCCCGGAUCUACCCAAAGCAAGAAGACAAACAAAGGGAACCACAAUCAACCACGUGCAAUGCACAAGCAACAUGAUGCAAAACAUGGCAUGAUAUGCGGGACGUGAUAUGCAAUGCAUAUGCAUCCUUUGGAAAGGAAAGAUUGUACCUGGCCUCAACUUGGAAAUCCAAGAGUGCCACUGGAAAGAGGAGUUGGUUUCGGUCGAAAUUGAUAUAAAGAUCACCGGAAUCCGAUGCACGGUUUGCAAAUUGCAAGCAAAACAAAUAUGGCACCGAUCUGAGCUACGACUGAUUCACUCAAUAACAGGUUGAAACAAGCAUGGCAAAAUUGCAAAAAAUAUCAGGUUACAGACUUAGUGAAAAUAACAACAUGUUAGGAAUUUAACGACAGGAAGCAAUGUUUAGAGCUAGAUAUCAAUGUGCUACAGGAACAUAUCAUGGCAAAGCAAGGCAUGGCAUGAAGCUACUCAAAGCAUACAACAAAAGUCCCUUACUGGCCAUAAGCCAAAAGGGAUCAGAAAAUACAAUGGCAACCAUGUGAACAUAGCAAUUAUUGUUAAUAGAUUCAGACUUAGUAGAAAACUGGAACAUGGCAAAACAGAUAUUAAGUAGGCAUGUUUACGAGCUCGAUGCACUCACCACAAGGCAUUGCAUGACAAACUAAGCAUACACCCAACAAGUAGACAUGGCAUAGAAGCUAAGCAUGGCAAGAACAACCUCAUAGCAUGCAUGGAUCAACUACAACAAGCUCGGCAAAAAUGCUUAACAUGUAAACAUUCUGCCAAGAACAUUUUAUAGCAAAAGUAGAGCUCGAUUGAGUCAAGCUAGGGUGCUCCAUAUUUGCCAACAAAGACAUGGAUGGAUAGAGCACCACAAUAUCUACAAAACAUCAUUACUAGUCAUGAUCAAAAGAGGCAUGGAUCACUCUGUAGCAACAUGAAUACAUGGCAUAAAAAUAUUAUCAGGGCAAAUGACUUAGAAUAUUUCUAAGUUCCUCAAAUCAGCAACAUUAAGAGGGCUACUUUGCAUGCUUGUGCUAGUCACCACAAAGAUCACAAGAAUACAUGGCAUACACCCCUGUAAAGAUGGCAUGGCAUACAUCAAAACACAUGUAGGGCUCAAGUUCAUAGGAGGCACACACUAAACAUGGCAAAAAUGACAAAUGUCCAAUUCCUGAUAAGGAUCUGAAACUAAUAUAAACUAGCACUCUUGCAACAGCAUUUAGGGCAUCAAGAGGAACUCAAAUGAACAUGGUGCAAUGGAAUGAAAUGAAGUACUCGUCGAGACAAACAAUCUGAUAUGCUACAUGCCCAAAAUGGAGCCAUGGUUGCAGAGUUAUGAUGCGAUGAAGAUAUGCAAAAAUACUGAAACGGAGGCAAAAAGUCAACCCGAUCCAGAUCUAGGGUUCCUCGCGGCGCACGAACCGAGGUUCACCGGAGAGGGAGCUUGAGGUCGCCGGACUUGGAGGGAGAAUCCGACGAGGGAGGAGGCGGCGGUUCCGGGGUCGGGGACGGCGCCGGCGAGCUCCUACGGCGGCCACCAGCGACGAGGCGGCGCGAGGCGGAUCGGGGCGGCGGCGCAGCGAGCUGGGCGGCGCCGGCGGGCGUGGACGGCGACGGAGCGAUGGCGCGGGCGGCGUGCGGCUUCAGGCCGGGGAGGGCCCGCGAUGGGCUCCAGCGGGCAGCGCGGUGGGAGGAGGCAGUUGCGACAGGUGGCGGCGCAUGAUUGGCAGCGGCGGCGAUGUCCGGUGCGGACCAGACACGUUUGGCGCGCGGAGAGGAGCGGGGCUAGGUCUAGGGUUGGAAGGGAUCCAGAAUUUUCGGGGGUGUGGCCUUUUUAUAGGUAGGAGGAGCUAGGAGGCUCCAAAUUGAGCACGGUUUGCGGCCAUGUGAUCGUGAUCGAAUGACCUAGAUGAUGGAGGUGGUUUAGGUGGGUUUUGGGCCACUUUGGAAGGGUGUUGGGCUGAAGCACACACAUGAGGCCUUCUCGGCUCCUUGGUUAACCGUUGGAGUAUCAAACGAAGUCCAAAUGGCACGAAACUUGACAGGCGGUCUCCCGGUAGUAAACCAAGGCCGCUUGGCAAGUCUCGGUCCAAUCCAAGAACGUUUAAUACCCGCACACGAAAAGAGGUAGAAAGGGACACCAGAGGACAUAGGAGCAUCGGAAUGCAAAACGGACAAUGGGGAAAAUGCUCGGAUGCAUGAGACGAACACGUAUGCAAAUGCGAUUCACAUGAUGACAUGAUAUGAGAUGCAUGACAAAGACAAAACAACACGAAGACAAAAAACCCGACAACGAGGAAAUAUCAUAACUUAGUGCCGAAAAUGGCAAGAGUUGGAAUACAAAUAUGGCAUGUUACAUAUGGGGUAUUACAAGAAGGGCAAGGGAGAGAAGGGAAACUUCAUGAAUGGCAAGCCAGCUGCCGCUCCAGUGAAGAAAACGAAGGUUGAACCCAAACCCGAGACUAAGUGCAUCUAUUGUAAGGGGAACGGUCACUGGUAGUGAAACUACCCAAAAUACUUGCUAGAUAAGAAGGUUGGCAACUUCAACAAAAGUAUAUUUGAUGUACGUGUUAUUGAUGUGUGUACCUUACUAGUACUCCUAGUAGCACGUGGGUAUUUGAUACUAGUUUAGUUGCUAAUAUUGGUAACUCAAAAAAAGUUGUGGAAUAAAUGGAGACUAGCUAAGAGAAAGGUGAUGAUGUGUGUUGGAAGUGUUUCCAAGGAUGAUGUGAUCACCAUCGCAUGCUUCCUCUACCUUCGGGGUUAGUGGUGAACCUAGAUAAAUGUUAUUUGGUAUUUGCGUUGAGCAUGAACAUGAUUAGAUCGUGUUUAUUGCAAUACGGUUAUUCAUUUAAGUCAAAGGAUAAUGUUUAUUCUAUUUAUAUGAAUAAUACCUUCUAUGGUCAUGCACCCAAUGUGAAUGGUUUAUUGAAUCUCGAUGGUAGUGAUACACACGUUCAUAACAUUGAGGCCACAAGGUGUAGAGUUCAUAAUGAUAAUGCCACUUUCUUGUGGCACUGCUGCUUAGGUCAUAUUGGUGUAAAAGUGCAUGAAGAACCUCUGUGCUGACGGACUUUUGGAGUCACUUGAUUUUGAAUCACUUGAUACAUGCGAACCAUGCCUCAUUGACAAUAUGACUAAAACCCCGUUUUCUGGAACAAUGGAACGAGCAAGUGACUUGUUGGAAAUCAUACAUGCUGAUGUGUGUAGUCCGAUGAGUGUUCACGUGUGUGGUGGAUAUCGUUAUUUUCUCACCCGCACCGAUGACUUGAGUAGAUAUGGGUAUAUUUACUUAAUGAAGCAUAAGUCUGAAACGUUUGAAAAGUUCAAGCAAUUUCAGAGUGAAGUUGAGAAUCAUCUUAACAAGAAGAUCAAAUUCCUACAGUCUGAUCGAGGGGAGAGUAUCUGAGUUAUGAGUAUGGCUAUCACUUAAGAUAAUGUGGAAUUGUUUCACAAUUGACGCCACCCGGAACACCACAGCGUAAUGGUGUGUCCAAACGUCAUAAUCAUAUGUUAUUGGAUAUGGUGCAUUCUAUGAUGUCUCUUGCCGAUCUAUCACUAUUGUUUUGGGGUUAUGCAUUAGAGACAACUGCAUUUACUUUAAAUAGGGCACCAUCUAAAUCUGUUGAGACGACACCGUAUGAAUUAUGGUUUGGCAAGAAACCUAAGUUGUCAUUUCUUAAGGUUUAGGGCUGCAAUGCUUGUGUGAAAAGGCUUCAGCCUGAUAAACCCAAACCCAAAGUGGACAAAUGCAUCUUCAUAGGAUACCCAAAGGAGACGCUUGGGUAUACCUUCUAUCUCAGAUCCGAGGGCAAAGUUUUUGCCGCUAAAGAACGGGUCCUUUCUCGAGAAAGAGUUUCUCUCGAAAGAAUUGUGUCGGAGGAAAAUAGAACUUGAUUAGGUUGUUGAACCUUUACUUCAACCAGAGAGUAGCGCAUUGCAAAAAGAUGUUUCUGUGGCACCGACGUUAGUUGAAGAGGAAGCUAAUGAUAGUGAUCAUGAGGUUUCACACUACUAGGGAAAAGCCUAGCAGUAGCGCAGGUUUUUGGUGUAUCAGUAGUGCGGGUACCCGCGCUACUGAUAUGACACUACAGCUAACGUAUAGUAGUAGCGCGUUUUGGCACGAGCUACUGCUAUACGUACUUACCAGUAGCGCUUUCCAUACCAACGCUACUGCUAAGUGCUUUAGCAGUAGCAUUUUCCUAUCCAAUGCUAUAGAGCGCUACUACUACAUUUUCUCAUAUCCUUUUUGCUACGUAUUUGUGAUGUUUUUGUACAUGUUUUAUACAAUAUUCUAAUCAUAUCAUAAACAUGCAAUAUGCUCAUCAUAUCAUACACAUAAUAGUCUCAUCAUAUCAUCCAACACAAAUCAUGUCAUCACAUCAUAAUCACGAUAUAAUGAUACAAGUUAACUGACAUGUCUCAUCAUACAUAAUGUAGUACUUCUUGAGGCGUUGUUUCAGAUCCCUCUCUCGCACUACCGUGAACCUAAACUAACUACUGUCUGUCACUCAGAAACCGGAAACAGAUACACCUGGGCCUUACACUCUGGCCACUAGUCGUAUAUUCCUGGCAUAGCACUUCUUCGCCAUUGAUGAUCUAUGAACCUUCAUCGUCACAUGAGUCGAUGAUUUGCAACAUAUAUAGUUGAGCAACAGAAAGAGACAGACUUGGAAAAAAUAGAAGCAGCAUAUCAUAAGCAUAAAUAACAAAGUUCAUCAUACCCAAAAUGCCCUAACUAGAGUGAUCUUCACUAGUUGAGGAGGACGGUUUAAUUACAUCACAAAUAAAGUUUCGUCAUACAUAACUCAAAGUUUCAUCAUAAAGAAAGUAUGGACUAAACAGAAACAUUGUCAUAUAUCGUCAAUCACUCCAACAUGUCAUGCCAUCCAUCCAAGUCAGGGAGAUAGUCCUCGAGCAAAGUGAAAGGCUUCAGGUCGAGACGUUGAGCGGCUACGCAUGUUCGGAUGUCUUCCAGUGACAUUUGCCCUUCUUCGUAGAAUAUCCCUGUUUAUUCGAGGACCUCCUUCAUGAUGAUUUGUGAAAGUUCACGCUAGAUGUGAUAGAACUCAGCUCGGAGUCGAUGAUCUAGGAUAUCUCCUAGGUUCUUUGCCCAUUGCAGAAUAUGGGCAUCGCCCGAUCUAGGUGACAUGCGAAGGUUCUGAUGAUCUCGUCUGUACUCCAGCAUGUAGUGGAGGACAUAGAAUCCAUCACUGAGAGUACCACUCGGUUACUGGAUGCAGCAGAAGUCGGUCUUAUGGCCGAAGCAGGGAUUGUGGUUCAUUGUCUUCCUACUCAUGAUCUCUCCACCCCAUACGCCGUAUGUAAAGAUAGCACUGUCGAGAACAUACUUGAUGUGGGUGUAAUACUUUUUUGCCAUGUUCUUCGAUGAGUCCAAGUAAAGAGCAUGGGAGAAUCGGGGGUAAAGGAUGAUGAGGACGGCGCGCCCGUCGCUAUGCAAAAUAAGUACACCUCAAAUUAGACUCCACACGUGCAAAUGAAAGGACUGAAAUCGAAGGAAGGAUAUCCGCGCAGAAGACUUACAUGGGAUGAUAAGGCACGAGAAUCGUUUCCUUGUCCUUAUUGUCGACCAUGAAAUCGGCGAUGUAGUUACUCUCAUAUUCAUGGUGCUUUUCGCAGACUAACAAGAAGCUCUCAUGCAUGAAGUACGGGUCAGCGACACAGAUAUAAGGUAUCUGCUCAAUCCUGAUGAUGUGGUUCAUGUACAAGGCAAAAAGGCGGACAAACGUAAAAUCCAGCUUUUUCAAGCGAAACACGUCGAAGAUGUAAUCGAAUCGAAGGAAGAAGUUCUUCGCGGGGAAUGUGUCGACGUACAACCUUUGUUGCGGCACGUUUACCACAUAGAGCGGGUAUCCCAGAUUUUUUGAGGCGAUUAGGCUUUUCUCUCUCUGCAGCACAUCGUCACGAAGUCUCCUUAGAUCGCCGUAUAUGGCCUCUAUCGCUGCCUUAGGUAGGAUUGGAUCACCGGGGAUAUGGAAUUUAGCCGCAUCCAUGACAGGUAUACGGUCUUGAACCCGAGGCUGCAGAGGCGGCUGGAUCAUAGAAUCAGCUUUGUUGCCUUACCUCGCUCUCUUCCUAUGCUUCUUUGUUAUUGGAAGGUCAUCUAUAAUACCAUCAGCUCCCGGCAUUUCAGGCACCGACUCAUGACACUCAACCCCUGAGUACUCAUACUGCUGAGCCAUCAAUCCUCCGUUGUCAUUGGAGCCAAUAUUGAGAUACUAUAGAGUGUCAUCGUCAUCCUCAUCGAUGGCAUCGAUAUCAUGCAUUGCUUCUUCGACGGCGGUGUAACAGCCUGGUUUUUGGCCCUUUUCUUUUUUCCUUUGAUUUAUUUGAUUUUUUAUCUGUUUUUCUUUUUGGAGUGGUUCUGUGGCCUUGAAACCUGGUCGAUCAUCAUUUCUCCUUCUCGCAAGUGGUUCAUCCUCCUCCAACUCAUCCCAAGACUAUACCAUUUCCAUUCUAGCCCAAUUCCAUAAUUCUUUUUCUUGGGGAAAAUUCCUUUUCUAUUAAAGGAAUAACCUCAAGUGCCCUAGGUCGUGAAGCAACCUAUAUUUAUGUUCAUCCAAAAAUUCCCAAAUAAUUCUCAUAAUUUCUUUGGGUCAUAUGUUGCCUAAAUAUGCCCAAACAUUUCCUUGUCUAGUUCAGAAAUAAUUCCCCAAUAUUCCUUCUUCUAUUCUGUCCUGAAUGGCAUUUUGUGAAGGAAGUGCCAUUUAUCUUAUCUUUUUUACUCCCAAACUUUUUUGGCACGCUUCUACAUCCAAAUAAUUGUCUUAUGCAAACAUUUAACUUCGUUUGCCUAGCCAACAUCCCUCAGUGAUUUUUCAAUGUUUCUGUUAAACAAAAGGCUUUGUGAAGGAAGUACUAGCUAGGAGUAUCCAAUUGAGUUGCAAUUUUUCACACCUCGUUAGGUGCUCAUCUUAUCAUAAUCCUCCAAUUUUUAGCACCAUGCAAUCAUCUAUGUGAGCACAGGACCAAAUCUUUGCUUCUGUCAAUAUUUUCAGGUUGUGAAGUAAGUAUAUUUUAUCUUGCUUCAUUUUGGCUGAACAUUUACCAAAGCAUUCUCAUGACCAUAAAACCACUCUCCACCAAUUUUGGAGUCAAUUAAUCAAGCCAAUAUUUCUCUAGAAUUUUUGCAAGCUUCUGGAGAAAGAGGAUGUUUGUGAAGCAAGUACCAUUUUGGCUUGUUCAUUUGGCACGAAAUUUUUGCAGCAUCUUCGUAUGGCUAGAUAACCCCGCCUUGCCAAGAUUCAGAUCAAUUGGUGACACCAUGUGAGUGCACCUUCCUAAUCUCAAUUCUGGACCAUUUUGGUCAGUUGCAAAGCAACUAUAUUAAUCCUUGGUGCAUAUCCCCUCAAAACCUCGAGGAUCAUAGUCCUUCCUUAGCUAAUCACCCCAGACAACACCAUUGACCCCAAUCAAUUCCUUGUUGAUCACCAGUGCACAACCCAAGUUUGAUACAACAAACUUCGCUCGAAACCUCACAUCUCUCAUUGGCUCUUUCUCUUGAUCCAUCACCUCCCACAGCCUCUAUGAUGCAGGGAAUAAGCACUAGAGAACUCAGGGCAGACUCUCUUGUCCUCUCUAAUACGUCUCCGUCGUAUCUACUUUUCCAAACAAUUUUUCCCUUGUUUUGGACUCUAACUUGUAUGAUUUUAAUGGAACUAACCCGGACUGACGCUAUUUUCAGUAGAAUUGCCAUGGUGUUGUUUUAUGUGCAGAAAACAAAUAUUCUCGGAAUGACCUGAAACUCCACGGAACAUCUUAGAAAUAAAAUAAAAAAUCCUCGCCAAAGAUGAAGACCAGGGGGCCCACACCCUUCUCACGAGGGUGGGGGGCGCGCCCCCUACCUCGUGGGCCCCCUGGAUGCCCUCCGACGCCAACUCCAACUCUAUAUAUUUGCUUUUGGAGAGAGAAAAAUCAGAGAGAAGAAAUCAUCACGUUUUACGAUACGGAGCCACCGCCAAGCCCUAAAACCUCUCGGGACGGCUGAUCUGGAGUCCGUUCGGGGCUCCGGAGAGGGGGAUUCGUCGUCGUCGUCAUCAUCAACCAUCCUCCAUCACCAAUUUCAUGAUUCUCACCACCGUGCGUGAGUAAUUCCAUCGUAGGCUUGCUGGACGGUGAAGGGUUGGAUGAGAUUUAUCAUGUAAUCGAGUUAGUUUUGUUAGGGUUUGAUCCCUAGUAUCCAUUAUGUUCUGAGAUUGAUGUUGUUAUGACUUUGCUAUGCUUAAUGCUUGUCACUAGAGCCCGAGUGCCAUGAUUUCAGAUCUGAACCUGUUAUGUUUUCAUGAAUAUAUGUGAGUUCUUGAUCCUAUCUUGCAAGUCUAUAGUCACCUACUAUGUGUUAUGAUCCGGCAACCCCGAAGUGACAAUAAUCGGGACCACUCCCAGUGAUGACCAUAGUUUGAGGAGUUCAUGUAUUCACUAUGUGCUAAUGCUUUGUUCCGGUUCUCUAUUAAAAGGAGGCCUUAAUAUCCCUUAGUUUCCAAUAGGACCCCGCUGCCAUGGGAGGGUAGGACAAAAGAUGUCAUGCAAGUUCUUUUCCAUAAGCACAUAUGACUAUAUAAGGAAUACAUGCCUACAUUACAUUGAUGAAUUGGAGCUAGUUCUGUGUCACCCUAUGUUAUGAAUGUUACAUGAUGAACCGCAUCCGGCAUAAUUAUCCAUCACUGAGCCGGUGCCUACGAGUUUUCCAUAUACUGGUUCACGCUUAUUUACUUUCCUGCUGCUAUUGUUACAAUCACUACAAAAUACCAAAAACAUUACUUUUGCUGUCUUUACUUUUGUUUCCGCUACCACCACUAUCAUAUUACUUUGCUACUAAACACUUUGCUGCAGAUACUAAGUUUCUAGGUGUGGUUGAAUUGACAACUCGGCUGCUAAUACUUGAUAACAUUCUUUGGCUCCCCUUGUGUCGAAUCAAUAAAUUUGGGUUGAAUACUCUACCCUCGAAAGUUGUUGCGAUCCCCUAUACUUGUGGGUUAUCAAGACUAAUUUCUGGCACUGUUGCCGGGGAGCAUAGCUCUAUUCUUUGAGUCACUUGGGAUUUAUAUCUGCUGGACACUGUGAAGAACUUGAGAGAUCCAAAAACCAAGAUCUAUCCCUCAACUACGAGGGGAGGUAAGGAACUGCCAUCUAGCUCUGCACUUGAUUCACCUUCUGUUAUGAGUAAGUUAGUGACACCUACACCUACUUCUGCUAUUCGUUCUGAUGUGUCGCAUGUUAUUGAUGAUGCCACUUCUGCUAUGCAUGAUACUUAUGAUGAAACUGCUUCUGUGCCUGAUACUACUGUGCCCCUUAGUGAAUUUCUUGAUGAACAAAUUGCUAGGUCUAGAGAAAAAGAAAUUAUUGAAUCUGAAUACGAUGAUGAUAGUGAUGAUGAAAAUAUGGCUGUUAUUCCUGAGGGCUAUCUUUUUGAUAUGGAAUCUUCUGCCGCUAUUUUAGCUUGCAGAGAUAGAUAUGAGCUUAAGAGGUUAUUAAUUAAAUGGAACAAAGAAUCACUUAGAGAUAAAAUGAAACCCAACCCUGCUUUUGCUACUUCACCUAUUUGUGUUCCUGAUAAGGAUUAUGAAUUCUCUGUUGAUCAUGAUAUAAUUACUUUGGUUGAAUCUGAUCCAUUUUAUGGCUAUGAAUCUGAAACUAUUGUGGCACAUCUUACUAAAUUAAAUGAUAUAGCCGCCCUGUUUACUAAUGAUGAGAGAUCGCAUUACUUUUAUAUACUCAAAAUAUUUCCGUUCUCAUUAAAGGGUGAUGCUAAGAUAUGGUUUAAUUCUCUUGAUCCUGGUUGUGUGCGUAGUCCCCAGGAUAUGAUUUAUUACUUUUCUGCUAAAUAUUUCCCUGCUCAUAAGAAACAAGCUGCUUUGAGGAAAAUAUACAAUUUCAUGCAAAUUAAAGAAGAGAGUCUCCCACAAGCUUGGGGGAGGCUUCUCAAGUUACUUAAUGCUUUGCCUGAUCAUCCUCUUAAGAAACCUGAAAUACUUGAUAUUUUUAUAAUGGACUAACCGAUGCUUCCAUAGAUUACCUGGAUAGUUGUGCUGGUUCUCUUUUGAGGGAAAGAACACCGGAUGAAGAUUAAAUUCUAUUGAAUAAUAUGUUGACAAAUGAAAAUAAUUGGGCACCUCCUGAGCCACCUCCUGAGCCAGCUCCUGCUCCAAUUACUGAGCCUAUUCCUAAACCAACUCCGAAGAAGAGAGGUGUUCUACUCCUCAGUCCCGAAGAUAUGCAAGAGGCAAAGAAAUCUAUGAAAGAGAAAGGUAUUAAAGCUAAAGACGUUAAGAAUUUACCUCCUAUUGAAGAAAUACAUGGUCUUAAUAUACCGCCUGUUGAAGAAACAUAUGAUCUCAAUUCUUUAUUUACUGAAGAACCUCCUGAUCCCAAUAUCCCGACACAGGUAGUAAAGGUAAAUUCUCUCUAUAGAUAUGAUAAAGCUGAAGUCCCUCCUACUAAAAUAGCUAGUCAGUGUUUGGAUGAGUUUGAUAACUUUAUGUUUAAGCAAGACGACUUCAAUGCUUAUUUUGGUAGACAAUUAAAAGAAAUGCUUAUAUGAUUGGACUCUUGGGUGAUUAUAUGGCUAAUAUUAAAGGUGAACUUAAACUUGUUAGCAAACAAGCUUCUAUGGUUACCACUCAAGAAGAACAAGUACUUAAGGCUCAAAAAGAAGUGCUUGAUGAAAUGAAUAGUAAGAAAAAUGAUUAUGCUGUUAGAGUGGCUACUAGAACUGGUAGAAUGACUCAGGAACCUUUGUAUCCUGAAGGCCACCCUAAGAGAAUCGAGCAAGAUUCUCAAAGAAAUAAUAUUGAUGUUCCUAGUUCUUCUAAAAAGAAGAAGAAGAAAAAUGAUAGAACUGUGCAAACUUCUAGUGAACCUGUUGCUGCACCACCUGAUAAUCCAAAUGAUAUAUCUAUGUCUGAUGCUGAAACACAAUCUGGUAAUGAACAUGAACCUAGUGAAAAUAUUAAUGAUGAUGUUCAUAAUGAUGCUCAACCUAGUAAUGACAAUGAUGUAGAAAUUGAACCUGCUAUUGAUCUUGAUAACCCACAAUCAAAGAAUCAACGUUAUGAUAAAAGAGACUUUGUUGCUAGGAAACAUGGUAAAGAAAGGGAACCUUGGGUUCAGAAACCCAUGCCUUUUCCUCCGAAACCAUCCAAGAAAAAGGAUGAUCAGGAUUUUGAGCGCUUUGCUGAAAUGAUUAGGCCUAUCUUUUUGCAUAUGCGAUUAACUGAUGUGCUCAAAACAAAUCCUUAUGCUAAAUAUAUGAAGGAUAUCAUUACUAAUAAAAGAAAGAUACCGGAAGCUGAAAUUUCCACCAUGCUUGCUAAUUAUACUUUUAAGGGUGGAAUACCAAAGAAACUUGGAGACCCCGGAGUACCUACUAUACCUUGCUCCAUUAAAAAGAAUUAUAUUAAAACUGCUUUAUGUGAUCUUGGAGCCGGUGUUAGUGUUAUGCCUCUCUCUUUAUAUCGUAGACUUGACUUGAAUAAGCUGACACCUGCUGAAAUAUCUUUGCAAAUGGCUGAUAAAUCAACUGCUAUACCUGUCGGUAUCUGUGAGGAUGUGCCUGUUGUGGUUGCAAAUGUUACUAUUUUAAUGGACUUUGUUAUUCUUGAUAUUCCCGAGGAUGAUAGUGUUUCUAUUAUUCUUGGAAGACCUUUUCUUAAUACUGCAGGGGCUAUUAUUGAUUGCAACAUAGGCAAUGUCACUUUUCAUGUUAAUGGUAAUGAGCAUACGGUACACUUUCCAAGGAAACAACCUCAAGUUCAUAGUAUCAACUCUAUUGGAAAAAUUCCAUCGAUUAUAUUUGGAGGUUUUGAAUUUCCUCUCCAUACUGUCAAGAAGAAAUAUGAUAUUCUUAUUAUUUGGGAUGUGCAUAUCCCCGUUGAGGUAACUUAGUGUUAUUCGAAAAUUUCUCCGGUUUCAUGAUUAUCAAAAUGAGUUUGUUAACAAGACUUGAUCAACCUUGUUAGUGGAUUCUUUUUGAUGAGCAUGAGAUGGAUGAAACUAGAAGCACAACCUUCUGUACCCCACUUUUACUUUCUGUUAUUUAUAUUAAAUAAAGUAAAAAUAGUAUUUUCUGGCUGUUUCCUGACUUAUCCGUGCAAUAUAAAAAUAUCCCGAAAAUAAAAGUCCUCAGAAUGACAUGCCAAUUUAAUAUGAUUUUUUCAGGAAUAUUUGAGGAUUUACUAUGCAAAAAUUACCGCGAGAGGAGCUGACACCUGGCCACGAGGGUGGUGGGCGCGCCCCCCCUAGGACGCGCCCCCUGCCUCAUGGGCCCACGGUGGCCCUCCUCCACUUAUCCCAGCACCCAUCUUCUUCCUCUAUCUCACACAAACCCGAAAAACCAACUCAAGCACGAGUUCCAGCCACUUUUGUUGUGAUUUUCGAUCUCCUUGCUCAAAGCACCUCUCGCAAAACUGCUUGGGGAGAUUGUUCCUUGGUAUGUGACUCCUCCAUUGGUCCAAUUAGUUUUUGUUCUCGUGCUUUAUUCUUUGCAAAUUUUUCCUGCAUAGGUGACCAUGUUCUGAGCUUGCAUGUCAAAUUUAUAUGGUUCCAAGUAGUUCUAAUGCUUGAUAUAGGCUCUAGGCACUUGUAGGAGUAGUUUCUAUCAGUUUUAUUGAAGUUGGUUCACUUUUGUUUGAAGUUACUAAAAAUUUCAGAUUAUUUCAGAAAAAUAAUGAGGAGAUUUUUGAGGGGCUCAUCGAGCCAAAGCUCGAAGGAAAAGGCACCGAAGCCUAAGUAUAAUUUGCCGCGCACCACGGAGAUUCGGGCGUGUGAAUGGCCUUCUGAAGAUUUCUUGAGAGCAGCCGAUAUCUACGAAGAUUUUCAUGAAUUGGCUCACAAUGCAGGCCUCACCACUUUCCUCCACGACCAAUGCAAUCAGUAUCUCUUACAAACAAAUACUUUUGUGCAAAACUUUCAUUUUCAUUCUAGGAACUCACCACCUACGGUGGAUUUUCAUUUAUAUGAUGAGUAUAAGGAGAUGUCACUUUAUGAUUUCUGCGGAUUUGUUUAAUCCCUUUUGAGGGGAAGACAGAAGAACCACAUGAUGAUGAUGUGGCUGGGUUUAUUGAUACUAUCACUGUCGGAGAAACUAGAAAGGUUUCCGAUGCACGAAUCACUAGCAUACAUUUUCAUGUUUUAUGCUACUUUGCAUUAUUUGCUAGUCAUUGUUUAAUUGGACGCGGAAAAAGUGGAAACCUUAGUAUCCCUGGUAUAAUUUUUCUGCACCACGGUUUAUACAUUGAUAACACUUUUAGUAUGGGCGGUAUUAUUGCUAGACGGUUAAGUAUGAACCGUACUAAGGGUCCCAUCUUUGGAGGCGUCUAUGCCACACGCCUAGCUGCAAAUUUUAACAUACCUAUUAGGCAUGCUGAGAAGGAAGAAAAGGUGCUGCCCCGUGUUUAUCUAGAUCAUAAAAGUAUGGUGGCACAUGAUUUUAUUGUUAAGAAUAGGGCAGGAGAGCUUAAACAUCAAUUGUUCCUUAACAAACAUCAUCCUGAGACUAUUAUCCUCCCUUCUCCUUCUUUAUUUAAUUUUGUAGGACCCUACCUCAUUACGUGGGCUGCCGUCCAAGCUUACAAGAAUCCUGCACCAGCCCUGGAACAGGAACCACAAGAUGAACCUCCAUGACAAUCUGUUUAUUCUUGGGAUCUAGAGAUGACUGUCAGCCAGUGGCAGUCAGAGUCUUCUUCUUCAUCACAGUAUGAUCCCACUAUUCUUCCUCAUCACAGUAUGACCCCCAACAACUAUUAUUAUGGAUAUCCGCCAGGCCAGCCGUGGCCAUAGUCCAACUUAGGCCAAAAGCCUAAGCUUGGGGGAGUACGUAUUUCUCAUCAACAUUACAUUUAUGCUCACACACACUCAUUGCUAGAUGUCGGUGCUCAUACUUUUUCACUGUAAUAUCCAUGCUAGUUUAUUUACUUUUUCUUGCUUUCUUCUUGUGUGUUUGUUAAACCUUAAGAAAAACCAAAAAAAUUAGUAGUCGUUUAUUUUUCUGCUGUAGUAGUAAUAAUUAUAAAGAAAACCCAAAAAUAUUUCCCGUUCUUCUUUUGCUUGUUGGGAGCUUUCCCGUGUAAAUAGUUUUAUUUCUUUUAUUUUAUUUGUGGGUCAGUAGGAGAAGACCAUAAUUAAAUUGUUGAAGUGGCUCUUAUAUGCAUUAUUGUUGAUUUAACCAAGAGCCCAUAUUGCCUUGUCUUCUCCUGUUUAUUGAAUGCUCGCAGAUUCCAGCUUAGUCAAAGGCACGCACACUCUUAUUAUUAUUCACACCGCUCAGUCGUGCAAGUGAAAGGCAAUUAUGAUGAUAUGUGAUGGACUGACCGAGAUGAGAAAAGCUGGUAUGAACUCGACCUCUUUUGUUUUUGUAAAUAUGAUGAGUCUCUCAUUCUUGAUUCAGCUUAUUAUGAAUAAACAUGUUUGCAAUGACAAUUAGAGAUCAUAGUUGCUUGUGCCAUGCUUGAUUAGCUAUGAGUUAUAAUGAUUUACCUUGUGUGCCAACAUGAUAUUGAGAUGAUUAUGAUGUGAUAUGAUAGGGUGGUGUCCUCCUUUGAAUGAUUUAAGUGACUUGACUUGGCACAUGUUCACGCAUGUAGUUGAAACAAAAUCAACAUAGCCUUCACGAUAUUUAUGUUCAUGGUAGAUUAUAUCCUACUCAUGCUUGCAUCCAAUGUUUAUUAAUUUUAAUGCAUGUACAUGGCUGUUGUCGCUCUCUAGUUGGUCGCUUCCCAGUCUUUUGCUAGCCUUCACUUGUACUAACCGGGAAUACUGCUUGUGCAUCCAAUCCCAUAAACCCCAAAGUUAUUCCAGAUGAGUCCACCAUACCUUCCUAUAUCCGGUAUCUACCUGCCGUUCCAAGUAAAUUUGUAUGUGCCAAACUCUAAACCUUCACAUAAACAUUCUGUUUUGUAUGCUCGAAUAGCUCAUGUAUCAACCAAGGUUGUCCUUAUCUUCCGUGUUAGGCGGGUUAUUCUCAAGAGGAGUGGACUCCGCUCCUCACUCACGAUAAAAUGGCUGGUCACCGGGAUGUCCAGUCCCAUGCUUUAUGCAAACUAAAUCAAAAUUAAUUGCAAACAAAACUCCCCCUGGGACCUGAUGUAUGUUGGAGGCACUCGUUGUUUCAAGCAAGCCAUGGAUUGAUGCUUGUUGGUGGAGGGGGAGUAUAAACUUUACCAUUCUGUUUGGGAACCGCCCAUAAUGUGUUUAGCAUGGAAGAUAUCGGCAUCUCUUAGUAGUUACGUUGAUAAUGAAAGUAUACCGCUCAAAAUACAAUUUAUCUCUAUUGCAAAACCGAGCUCUGGCACCUCUACAAAUCCCUGCUUCCCUCUGCGAAGGCCUAUCCAUUUACUUUUAUGUUGAGUCAUUACCCUCCUAUUAAAAAGCACUAGUUGGAGAGCACAGCUGUUAGUUGCAUUCAUCACUUUUAAUUUAUAUUGGGUGUGACUAUGAUUGGAUCUCUUUUACCAUGAAUUACAAUGUCUAGUCGGUCCUUGAUCUUUAAAGGUGCGCUGCAUUUAUGUUUUGCGGUCUCAGAAAGGGCUAGCAAGAUACCAUCUUGUUAUAUCAUAUUAUGAUUGUUUUGAGAAAGUGUUGUCAUCCAACAUUUAUUAUUAUGACUUGCUUGUUGAUUAUGCUAUUGAUAUGAGUAAUUAUGAGACCUGAGAAUUAUUGCAAAUGUGGUUAGUUAUGAUCUAUGCUGAAAACUUGAAUGCUGGCUUGACAUAGUUACAACAACAAGAGCAAACAGAGUUUGUAAAAGUUUUUCUUUCUUUCUUUCAGUUUGUCAACUGAAUUGCUUGAGGACAAGCAAGGGUUUAAGCUUGGGGGAGUUGAUACGUCUCCGUCGUAUCUACUUUUCCAAACACUUUUGCCCUUGUUUUGGACUCUAACUUGUAUGAUUUGAAUGAAGCUAACCCGGAUUGACGCUAUUUUCAGCAGAAUUGCCAUGGUGCUGUUUUAUGUGCAGAAAACAAAUAUUCUCGGAAUGACCUGAAACUCCACGGAACAUCUUAGAAAAAACAAUAAAAAUCCUCGCCAAAGAUGAAGACCAGGGGGCCCACACCCUUCUCACGAGGGUGGGGGGCAUGCCCCCCUAGGGCACGCCCCCUACCUCGUCGGCCCCCUGGAUGCCCUCCGACGCCAACUCCAACUCUAUAUAUUUGCUUUCGGAGAGAAAAAAUCGGAGAGAAGAAAUCAUUGCGUUUUACGAUACAGAGCCGCCGCCAAGGCCUAAAACCUCUCGGGAGGGCUGAUCUAGAGUCCGUUCGGGGCUCCGGAGAGGGGGAUUCGUCGUCGUCAUCAUCAUCAACCAUCCUCCAUCACCAAUUUCAUGAUGCUCACCGCCAUGUGUGAGUAAUUCCAUCCUCGGCUUGCUGGACGGUGAUGGGUUGGAUGAGAUUUAUCAUGUAAUCGAGUUAGUUUUGUUAGGGUUUGAUCCCUAGUAUCCGUUAUGUUCUGAGAUUGAUGUUGCUAUGCUUAAUGCUUGUCACUAGGGCCCGAGUGCCAUGAUUUCAGAUCUGAACAUGUUAUGUUUUCAUGAAUAUAUGUGAGUUCUUGAUCCUAUCUUGCAAGUCUAUAGUCACCUACUAUGUGUUAUGAUCCGGCAACCCCGAAGUGACAAUAAUCGGGACCACUCCCGGUGAUGACCAUAGUUUGAGGAGGUCAUGUAUUCACUAUGUGCUAAUGCUUUGUUCCGGUUCUCUAUUAAAAGGAGGCCUUAAUAUCCCUUAGUUUCCAAUAGGACCCCGCUGCUACAGGAGGGUAGGACAAAAGAUGUCAUGCAAGUUCUUUUCCAUAAGCACGUAUGACUAUAUACGGAAUACAUGCCUACAUUACAUUGAUGAAUUGGAGCUAGUUCUGUGUCACCCUAUGUUAUGAUUGUUACAUGAUGAACCGCAUCCGGUAUAAUUAUCCAUCACUGAUCCGGUGCCUACGAGUUUUCCAUAUACUGGUUCACGCUUAUUUACUUUUCUGCUGCUACUAUUACAGUCACUACAAAAUACCAAAAACAUUACUUUUGUUGUCUUUACUUUUGUCGCCGCUACCACCAGUAUCAUAUUACUUUGCUACUAAACACUUUGCUACAGAUACUAAGUUUCCAGGUGUGGUUGAAUUGACAACUCAGCUACUAAUACUUGAGAAUAUUCUUUGGCUCCCCUUGUGUCGAAUCAAUAAAUUUGGGUUGAAUACUCUACCCUCGAAAGCUGUUGCGAUCUCCUAUACUUGUGGGUUAUCACUCUCCAUGCCAGUGUCCGUGGUAACUGCCGCCCUGGCAUGGCAUUUCUCGCGCUCUGGCGGCAUUCAGAGCGUCCUGAGCGCUGGGUAGCUCUGCCUCGACGCAUUUCUCGCAUCCACUGGUGCCGACCUGACUCCCCCUUCCUCUCCCGUUGCUCUCAAGUCCCUUCCCUCUCUCGAAGCCUCCUCGCCGGAGCUAGACGCUGCAUGCCCACGGGCGAACAGUGGCCGUCAAGGCAUUAAAGGCGCUCAUCUCUUCUUCCUCUGCCCCCCCUUGGCCUCCUCUACCCCGUGAAGCUUGUCAUCGAUGCCUCAUCGCGUUCCCGUGCCCUCCCCGUGAUCGUUGAGCUAGAUAGGGCUCGGCCGGACAUGCACGGCGGCACCCGAGCUCGGGAAGCUUCGACCACGGCUAUAUAAGACCUCCUCGAGCCCCUCCUCUCCACACCACCGGCCUCCCCAUCCUCUGUUAGCCCCUCCCAGCCUCUUACCCAAGCCGGAGAGCUCCUCCUCGCCUCCCUCUGUAGCCAUGGCCACCGCCUCCCUCCGGCUAGAUUAGCCCGAAGCCGAGCCCUCUUCCACCUUGUUCCACCUCCAUGAGAAACACCGACGUUGGGCGAGCCUCUGCAGCAUCUCUGUUCAUUUCCGGGAAGUCUACAUGCCCGGCGCCAUCGAUGGCCGAUGAGCUUCUCCACCGGCGUCGAUGCUGCUACCUCCUCAUCCAUCCUCGGUGGCCGUAGUAGGCACCAGCGGAAGGGCCUCGCCGCGCUGAUCUCGUCCAUAGGUAGAGCAUCGCUAGAGACCCCUUGUGGCACCGGCAAUCGCCUCCCGAUGCCGGUCGUGCCCCAGGUGCGGGAGGUUGAAGACGAGGCCCUGCCCAAACCUGCCAGUGGGCCCUCGACCCCUCCCGUCAGUGGCUCUAGGCGCUACCAGUCCCGCUGACGUGGCUAAGUGGAAACACAUUCCACUGGAUAUGUUUUCUUGGAGGGGAAGCGUGUUCUCUCUGUUCUAGAUAAGAAUACAUUUUUGAUGCAGUAAAGCGUAUUCCUGGAAAUGAGCUUUCCAUUUUUCAGCCACUGGGGUUGAACCCUCUAUUUUGAGAACGUUAACCCGUUAGCAACAGAAGAGCACAUAUUUUUUUGUUUUUCUGCUAACGAAUGAACGAUCGUAUCUUUUCAUCCACAACUCUGAUUGAGGUGAUUACAAAUCCCACUUCUUCGUUUCGUCGAGCCCAUUCUGUUGGUAUCAUUUUUACCAUGUGUUAACAUUCUGAAAAUGUCCAUUUUGCUCUGGCACUAAAUCAGCCCCCUCCGAGAGAGAACGUUUUCCGAUGAUUCUUUCCGCGUGCUUCUCAUACUUCUUCCCGAUGAAUCCCUUCACCCCAGGAAAGCCACACCCUCCAUUUGCAUGAUUUCAAUGCAGUGACAUGGUUUAAAUUAUUUGAACUUGUUUAAAAUAUUAGUUUAGCUACUUGUGAUUUGUUCUUGGCAUUUGUGGGAGUAUUGUUUGAUCUUGCUAUUGCCAUGAUAUUGUUUGGAGUUCUAGGUUUAAUAUUUUGCAUCUUAUGUGGUUGACAUGUUGCCUCUGGAUUCUUAGUGGUUAUUAUGAUUAUUUUCAUGAUGGUAUUAUGCUUUGGAGUAUUACUUUGGAUAUCACAUUGCCAUUGGAUUAUUAGUGGCUAGUGUUAUUUCCAUCAUGAUGCUAGUUGAUGUUAUGUUUUGGAGUAGUAAUAUUAUUGUUCUUGGAUUUAUCAUGAUCGUAGAGUUAUGCUAUCCUCAAAGUAUUUUGAUAUGACAAUAUUAUGCUUUGGAUUAGUUAGUGGAUAUUGAUAUGAUCUGGAUUACCGUUGGAUAGAUGAUGUCGAAGUAUCAGUUAUGACUGUUAUAUUUUGGGGACAAAUUCCGUCAUUUCGUUGGUUAGGUGCCACUAAACCGGGCUUUUCUAGUGCAACCACAUUUGCAUUUUAUGGGAAGGCCCUAAUGCGGUAUAUUAUCGUGCCUCUCGCCGGUGCCUCCAACGAGGGAAGGUUAUGGGCGUGCGGUACCCUGGCCCGGUAAGCAGACAUAACCUUGUGUGCCUGUAGUUGGAUAGGGCCCUUUUUGUCCCCGUUUGAGACCGUUUUUAUUUUGCCACGACGGUGGCCAUUGAUGCCUUUGAUAGGCAUGGCGCCACCCAUGACUUAGCCCAGAAGGGUGUUGGUCGGAGUGACCGGGAGAGUUUCAUGGUGAUAGAUUGGUUUUGUCGGAACACCAUUGUUCCACAAGAAUGGGAGUGUGAGGCCAUGGGUUCCGUGGUGUGGGUAAAGGGCGCUAGCUCUGCAGAGUGUGUGUUUAAUCUAUUGAUAGCCACGUCCUCGGUCAUGGGCACAAGUUUGAAUUAGGUCACACCGAUCGAUCAACACUCACAUGACGGAAUGACUUAUAGGUGAAUUAUAUGUUGAUAUAUUUUGAGUAGUAACAGUUUGGCAGGAUGAUGAUGUUGAGAUGAUCUCAAGGAUGAUCACUCAGUUGUGAUAUGGUCAUGAGGUGAUCAUGUGGAUGAUUUGAUCACGAGAUGAUCAGGUGGAUCACGAGGUGAUCGAGAUGGUAUAUUGCUUGCCUGGAUAGCCAAGAGUGAGAUGGUGGUUUAUUGGUAUUGUAGUAGUUUCUUAUCAGGCUUAGUAGUUGUUUUCGUAUCAUGGUAGAUGUUAAACUAAUUAACCUGUUUAAUGUUAUCUUGUUGUCUUGCCUUGAUGCUUUUGGUUAUUGUGAGCUUCCAAAUACAUUCAAUGUACUGACCUGGCGUGUCAUGCCAGAUUGUAGGUGAUGCAGUGAUUGAUUGAUUGCUUGUCGAGGUUACCGUGUAUGUGUGCUAGAUCGUGUCCCAGCCAGAGUCCUUGCGGAGUGGAGUUCACCACCUUCGUCAUUGUUCCACUGCUAGAAGUAUUCCGCUGCUACGAGUUGUUCCGCUGCUAGCAUAGACCAAGUGUAGUAUCGCAGGCAUAGUGUCGCCAUGCUGAUGUGAUCCUUUGUAACAUCAGACACUUGUAUCAUUAUCCUUUUUAAUAAGAGCUGAUUUGUUCUAUGUCAAGCAGUGUCGUAUUCCAGAAGACUUCAUCUCGAUAUCUGGGCUGGAAUACGGGGUGUUCCGGUUUCUCUGAGCCAGGGUGCCACGUGCGGCGACGUCAUCAAGGACUAAUGGAGACUCUUCGUCACCCCGCCCGCUAUCACCCGACACGACAGGCGACGCUAAUUGGAUAGGUGGGGUGUUGAUGUUCAUACCUUGCUAAGGCUGUGUGGUCUUGGGUGUGCUCCUGGCCGCCUGUAGACGAAACAGACUCUUUGGCCACAACAUGACCCACCUCUUGCAACUGCCAAGCCGCCACAGGGUCUCGUCGUCAUCUCCCCUAGUACCGGAGGAGCCAAAUUCUUGUGGUCCGGUUUUACACUAGCCACGGAAACCUUGAAGAUGUCAGGGGGGAUCGGCCGGCUAUGGAAAAAUUGUUCCUUCAGCUUCACUAUCGUCGCCUUCCCCACGUCCACCUUUUGCCCGCUGAUGGUGUACAAUAUGGUGCAUGGGGUUACGUGGCCUGCAAAGACAUGUUUGCAACGUGAGACAUCCGAAAGGCAACAGAAAUGGGAGAUUAUACAAUUAUUGAAGAGGGCCGGUGUGACAGGUACCGUGAGGGCGUCGAGCUCGGCUGUGAUGCCCAAAUAGCAGUGCUCCAGAUGCCUUCCAUGGAUUCCGAGUUUCGUCGUGUGAUUUGUUUUGUUUGUUGCAUUCAUCAUUGCAUCAUUUUCAUUGCAUCAUGUCAUCAUGCAACCCUUUUUAAAACUCAUCUAAAUAAAUUGCAUGGAUCUUUAAUCCAUUCAAAUCGAGGGAAUUCACAUGGUAAUUUCUCUUUAUAACACAUCCUCUUGAUAUCUUUAGGGAGCUAUUAAAAUACAUUCCAUUUAUUUUGGAAUCACCCUUAACCACACUCACAUUUUAAAUUCCGCUUUGGCUCCAAUUAUUCUAAAUCCUUGCACAACUUACCCCAAGAACCAAGUUCAUUUCGAACUUCCCCUUCAUUCUGGAUUUUGGAAAUUCCACUUGCCAUUUCAUGUUCAUGGAUGAAUGUUACCUUUGCCCAUGAAUCAUAUUGACUGAGUUGAACCACAUCCUCGAAUUCCACCCCCUUUGGAUUCCAUGUAAAGGGUUUUCUAAAUUCAAAUAGUUUGACUUUUGAUCAAACUUGUUUGGAUCUUCAUCUCCCAAAGGUCUUUCGUCGAUUCUAUUUAAAUUCCUUACAUUUUUACGUGUCUGGGGAAAUUAUCCGCAUGCUCAAAUUCUUUCCCUAACCUCCCUCUUCUUUUUUUUCUUCUCUUUAUGUUAAAGAAAAUAAGAGAGAGAGAGAAGAGCCUGGCUGGGCCUCCCACCAGCCGCAACCUGCAGUUAGGCCGGCCCAUUUGCACCAAGGCCCGGCUCUAACCCUAGCCCGACCGAUCCCAUCUCUCGCUCCCGAACCCCAUCUCUCCUCUCGCUCCCCACUCCGCUGCCAACCACUCAUCCCGCUCGAUCCAUAACAUCUCCCCUCGUAGCCUCUCCACCCUCUCGA